rnacentral:lncRNA from 1 species
UGAAAGGUGACCACACAAACUUUGUGAUUGAGCCUUCUUUUGGGGUUGAGGCUUAUGAGUUGUACCCAGAUGUCAAGUACACAACUGUGGAGGAAUACCUUGAUCAGUUCGUUUGAAGAAUUAACAAAAUCUAUCUAUCAGUAAUAAUAUGAGUUGUUUGUUACAUUGGAGUUUGACGCGGAACUGUUCUGCCUUUCCUACUUGUUGCUUCUUAUUUCAUUUGCUAUGUAAACUUGUUAAUGUUUUUAGUACCCAAAUAAUAUUCAAAAAUGGUUGUGUAUCUUGUCAAAUGUUGCCUUCUUCGUGUCAUGUGAGUUUGUCACGUUAUAAUAUGUUACUUUUGGCUGAAAAAUUUAAUUAGCUGGGACAAUAACAUAGUACUAUAAUAUUUAUAUAAAAAAAAUUAAAAAUUAUAUACAUAGGAGUAAAUGUACAAUUGUCAAAAAAUGACAUGGAAAACAACCCCGUGAAAAUGUUUGAGCCUCAUUUUUAGCUAGUUUGCACUUAUUUAUCGAUACAUACAUCUUUUUUUUUUUUUUUGGUAAUAUCGAUACAUACAUCUGAUUGUAUCCAACAUUUUAUUGCUAAUGAUAUGAGAUAAUUUCCUUAAAAAAAACAUGAGAUAGUUCUUUCUUCUAAAAGCCCAUGAAAAUGGUUGUUUAUUUAUUAUAAUAAAAUGGUAUUAUAGUAAUUUCCAGUGUACAAAUUCUAAUAAUUCCCUAAAAAAAACUUUCUAAUAAUGGAAAGAUAGAGAAAAAAUAAAAUUUGCAUCUACAAUGGAAACACUGAAAUAGGUUAAUGACCAAGGACACCCAUUAUCACUUACACAUGAGUAAUGAUAUUUGUACAACUAUCAAUUUUAAUGACAAAUUUUUUUUCUCUCUUCUUGUUGGUCAAAAACAAUAGAGAGAGAAAAAUAAAAAGAGAAAGUAAGAUCAUAAUAUAAGUAUGAAAUAAAAAGUUGUUGAAAGAUUUACAUGAAAUAUUGUACAAAUUAUACAUCUAUCUACAUAAUAUUUUUGUUUCUUCUUGUUGGACAAAAAAGACAUGUGUAUGGAUAUGAAAUUAACUAUCAAUACUCCAAUAAAAAAACAACAAUGAUACUUAAACACUUCAAUUUUUCACAUGUUAUUUUAUUUCUCUCUCUUUUUCCUUUUAUAGCACCUACAUAUUACAUUUACCACAUCACUCUAUUUUUUCUAACAUUUUUCAUAAAUAAAAUACUUGAGUGAGAAGUGUGCAGUGGUCUAGUGAGAUGGCGGUGAAGAGCAGGAUACUGAUAAUUGGAGGGACUGGCUACAUUGGUAAACAUAUAGUGGAAGCAAGCGUAAAGGUUGGACAUGACACUUUUGCUUUGGUUAGGGAAUCAACCAUGGCUGACCCCACCAAGGCUAAGCUCCUCCACAAUUUCAAGACUAUAGGUGUUAAUUUGGUCCAUGUAAGAUUUCAAACACCAUCUCUUAAUUUACCUUACAUUAUAUCAUGAACAUCCAGGCAUAUUACUAUAUUAGAGUUUGAAAUGAGAAUGGCAUUGGCAGGGGGAUCUCUACGAUAAUGAGAGCUUGGUGAAAGCAAUGAAGCAGGUAGACGUGGUCAUAUCUGCACUCAGUCACACACAUGCUGCUGAUCAAUUGAAAAUCAUCCAUGCCAUUAAAGAGGCUGGUAAUGUUAAGGUUAUCCUUAUCCUCUUGCUCUUUUGUCUUCUCCUAAUUUUGCAUAUUUUUGUUUUUGUUUUUUACUCUAUAUUCUUAAUUUACAUACUUUAAAUAUUUCCUCUCAAACAAAAAAAAUCUUUGAAUAUCUAUUUUGGCUUGUUCUAGGGUGUGCAUUUCCAAAGACAUUGUUUAAAUUGUUUAAAGAAUCUAAAAAACUUUGAAUAUCUCCUCUCUCUCUAGAGAUUUUUCCCUUCAGAAUUUGGGAACGACGUGGAUCGUGUCCAUGCUGUUGAGCCAGCAAAAUCUGUAUUCUCCGUGAAAGCACAAAUUCGACGUAUGAUUGAAGCUGAAGGCAUACCCUAUACAUAUGUAUCUACCAACUCCUUUGCUGGCUAUUUUGUACCAACAUUUGUCCAACCUGGAGCUACAGGUCCACCAACAGACAAAGUCAUUAUCUUGGGUGAUGGCAAUAAAAAAGGUAACAUUAACCACUACUUCUACUCUUGGUGGUUUAGUUCAUGCAUUUUGGUCUAGUAGCUACAUAAUCCAAUAUGUGCAUGCCUCACUGUAUUUUAAUUUGCAUUUUUGUGUUGAAUUUGUGCAGCUGUCUUCAACAAGGAAGAAGACAUUGGAACCUACACUAUUAAAGCUGUGGAUGACCCAAGGACAUUGAACAAAAUUCUUUACCUCAGACCCCCCAAGAACAUUUACUCAUUCAACGAUGUUAUCGCCUUGUGGGAGAAGAAAAUUGGAAAGACCCUUGAAAAAAUUUAUGUAUCAGAGGAUAAACUUCUCAGGGAUAUUGAAGGUUGGUAUAUAUAAUCACCUUACACAAAUGUUGAAUCUUAUUACAAUUUGAAGAGAAUUUUAUAAAAAGCGAGAAUAAAAUUUAUGAUAAGGGUCUAAUGUCUAUAUUUAAAUAUGGAAGUGUUAAUAAGCGAUUUAUUACUUGUUAUUGCAGAGAAACCUUUUCCAGACAAUGUAGGAUUAGCAAUCUGUCACUCAGUGUUUGUGAAAGGUGACCACACAAACUUUGAGAUUGAGCCUUCUUUUGGGGUUGAGGCUUCCGCUUUAUACCCGGAUGUCAACUACACCACUCUGGAGGAAUGUCUUGAUCACUUCAUUUGAGAAUUACAGUUAUAAAAUUGAAGCGAUCAGAUAGAUGUGCGCUAUGCUCUUGUACUUAUUAAUGAUCGAAUAAUUUAAUAAUCUGAUUGAUUUUGUAGCUUAAGAGUUUGACGCCGCAACUGCUCCACCUCUGUUGCUUAUUGCUUCUUAUUUGCUAUGUUAAUCUAUUAAUGUCUUAGCGCACCAAGUUUCUUUUUGUUGAAGACUGUCUUACUGUAAUAUUGUGUAAAGACUGUCUUAUGAAAAUGAUAUGAUGCUUGAGUUUUGGUAGUUUCCAAUUCCUGCUAUGGCUUUUGUUCUGUUUUACCUUCUUGCCCAAGGAAAAUUAAAGAAGUGGAAAAGAAAGACUAUCAUCAUGCUAUUAUGUAUACUGUUAUUUAUUCAUAGUUAUAUACAUACACAAAAUUUCAAAAACUACUAAUUGGCAAUGGGAUUACAUUGCUAAGUAACUAUAUUCCCUCCCUGAUUUUCUCUUUUUUAAAUUUACUUUAAAAGAUACUAUAUGUUUGCUGAACAAUUGACGCCAAUCGGUCCAUAUCAAUUCAGACUCAUUGUAUGGACAAAUUUGACAUAUUUACUAGUAUUUGUGAACUGAUACUACAUAUUCUUACCGUUUGAUUUUGGUGUUGUUUCACUAAGCUCAAGUAAUUGUGAAUUUGACAUUUGUUUGACUUGUACUUGUACUUUGGAAGCAUCAUAAUCAGUGCUAUUGCGAUUGCUGAGUAUAAGAUCAGUUUGAUUAUGAUGCGAGUGUGAUGAAGUUGGCAAUGGUAAUAAUGAUACGGUUGCAGCUGGUGCUGGGGCAAGUUCGUCUUCAACCACUGACUUGGCUGGCAGUGGUGCUGUUCUUAUGAUGUUACUCUGUGUGUGCCCGAUCAUUCUUCUUACCUUCAUUGUCUCUGUAAUAUUUCCUGCAAAGUUGGAAAUAAAGAUUAAUUGUACACAAGCCUAAUUAAGGUGCAAAUUAAAUAUAUCAAUUUUGGUUAAUAAGAAGUGUUAGAACUAAGUUAGAAGAUUGGUUUGUUACCAUUUAAUUCAAGGUCGGCUUUCGAAUUCUCUGACAAGAGAAUAAGUGUUGGUGUGAUUAAUGUAAGGAAAGCCCAGAAGACAAAUGUUGGAAUUAGAGUUCUUUCUCUCAUCAUCAUAUCACAGGAGAUUAAACUAUAACAAUUAAUAUCAUGCACCUCCUAAGUACAUAACUUUUUGGGGGCGAGGGAUAGGCAGACGCAGAGAAGAGGAAAGGCGUGGAAUAUGAUGUUUUUUGUGCUCAAAUUCAAGAGAUUAGUUGGCCAUGUUUAAACACAACUACUAUCAAGAAUCAAGAUAUAUAGAAUAAUAGCAACUGCUACUACUUGAGUGUUUUUUAUUAUAAUAUAAACUAGAGUCAAGUUUUGACAACCAAACAUUUGAUUUGGUUUAUCGAUCGGUUGUUGGAUGGUUGUUAUAUAUAGCCAUUCGUGUUUGUUUGAUCUGGCUAGCUUGCUGUGUAUAUAUACAUUAUUUACUAAGAAGUCAGAUUAUGUGGUGGCAAUAUAGGCUGACAUGAAACACUACACAUAAACAUUGAUAAUUUGAGUAAGAAAAGAUAAGUAUCGAUAAUAAUUUAAGACAAAUAGAAGUGAUCAAAUGCAACUAAAUAUGUCAAACAUUAAACAAGUUUUUAGUUUAAAGUGUGAGAACUCCAUAGAUAUCAUUUCAGACUUGUUCUAUUUAUUCUUUUGGUCAAGUAGUCUAGUGGCUAGAGCUCACACAAUUUAAUUGUGGAGAAGUGGAGUGUCUGGGGUUCGAAUCCCGGCUCCUGCAUAUAAUAUGCAAUAUCCCUACCAACUGAGCUAAGCUCACGGGGAUGUUCUAUUUAUUCUACUAAUGAUUAUCUGUGACAAUACUCACACCCUUUCUUAUUGAUGUUUAUUUUCCAACACCUAAACCAUGCUGCAGUAUUUUAAUAAUCACCAAAUUUCUCUUUCUUUAAAAAACAAAAAAAAAAACUCUUAGUUCUCAUUACCGUUCAUUAGAAGGUUCCUAUAAGUCAUAAACAAAGCAUUUAAUUAGGUCAAAAGGGCUAAAAUAAAUAUUAGCAACUGAGUUAUCAAAAACAAAAAUCAGCAAUUGUACGAAUAAUAAUAUUGAUAUGGUUAAGAAAUCACAUUCAACCGAGCUAUUGAAUAACCUUAUGCAUAGCGCUUAUAGAAAAAGGAAAAGAGAUGUACCAAAAGAAGAAGAAAAAAAGGAAAAGAGAUAUAUCAAAAGAAUCUUAAAAUAUGAAGAUGCAUGUUUCACACUACUGCUGAGCAUUAUUAUUCCUUGAUUUAUUUUUUAUUUUUUUUAAAAAAAAAAAGAAGAAGAAGAAAACACUGUAUGAAAGAAAUUUUUUUUUUGGUUAAGAUAUGAAUGUGAAUUUUCUAAUGUAUCUUAAUAUUUGGAGUGUAAAAUUGAUUUUGAUAUGAUUGAUCACUCUCAAACAUAAUAAUUUUGACUCCACGAUUGACUAUGAUUGAAGCAAAAAAUUAGAGCUUUUGAUUUUAGAAUUUAUUUUACAUGCCGAUUUAUUUUAUAUUAAUGUAUUCAAACAUAAAUAAUUUUACCUUCAUAUCACUUUUAACAAGAAUAACUUUACCUUCACAUCACUUUUAACAAGAACUAAUUAAGUCAUAAUCAAUUUUUAUCAAUUAAGUCAAAAUCAAUUUUUAUCGGUAGUAGAGGAGGCUUCUAGGGCGCAAUCUUGGAUGCUACAUGAUCAUAUUUUGAGAGACAAUCUAAUAUGUGGUAUGGACUCGGAUUUUGAUAAUGCUUUGAAUGGUCUUCGUGGUACGAUUUCAAAUUUUGACAUUAUCAGUUUUACUUGCAAGGACACCGUCCUUCCUAAAGCACAUGUUUUAGCGAGUGCUCUUUUUAGUAAAAGUGUUAAAGAUAUGGAAGUUAAGUUUGGCAUGAACAUUAGACAAAAGACAAUUUUAGGGUGUUUGCAUGCAGCGCAUGCUCAUGAUUUUCUUCUAGCUAUCCCGAUUGAUGAGUUAAGUCAGCAUAUGUCACGAGUGGAGUAUCGUGCUAUCCUUAGAUAUCGCCUUGUGAUUCCAUUGUUUCCUAUUGAUAAGGUGUGUCCUGUUUGUCGUAAGGCGUGCCUGAAUACUUUUGGGGAGCAUGUCGUUCAUUGUAAGGAGCUUCUCAGCUUUAAGUAUUGACAUGACUUUAUUAGGGAUGUCCUUUUUAAUAUAUUCAAGCGGACAAGAGUAUCAGUGAAGAAGGAGACGUUUGUGAACUUUUUAACUGACCCACUAGAUAGAAGAUUGACGCUUAGGCCUGCAGAUGUUAUGAUGUCCGAAUGGACAGGAGGAAAACUUACAUAUGUGGACUCGACUGAGGUUUUACCACUUGUGGGAUUAGGGACAUGGUUUUUAUGGUAGGAUAAUCAACCCUAUAAGAUGCAUAAAACAAAAUGAGAGAGCGUGUUCUGACAAUCAACAUGCUUUUAUUCCAUUUGCUUUUGACACUUUCAGCUUUCUAACACUAGAUGUCGUUGACCUUCUACAUAGAGUUCAAAGGGUCAUGCAUAACAAUGUCAUGUCUCCUAGACCCAUAAAUAUUGUGUUUACAAUGAUUGAUUUUGCCAUCCAAAAAGGCUUAACGACACAACUAUUGCCCGCUUGCAUUUUUUUUUUUUUUGUUGUCCGGGAUUCAAACUCUGCUUGCCUUCUAUUCAUGUACAAGUAAUUCUUGAUAUAUAUAUAUAUAUAAAAGACACACCCUUCAAUGUUUUGUCACCUUAAAAAGGUGCUGUUAGCAGGCCAACCCGGUUAAUUGGACCGGCCCAAUUCGAAAGUUGUUUUGAGAAUGAAUGAACUAACUGGGCAUACAUUUUUUUUUCUGGAAUCCCGAAAUUACCCUCUGAAUGAAAGGGGCAAUUCAUUUCCACGUCUACCUCGACCUCUCAGUCUUUGAUGCUCAAGACUGAAAAAAAACUCAAAAAGUGUUGGCAUUAGGAAUUGAUUGAUUGAAGAAGAAAUGGGAACCCUCGGAAGAGCGAUAUACAGCGUUGGACAGUUGAUUCGAAAAACUGGACAAGCCGUUGAUCGCCUCGGUUCUCAUCUCCAAGGUGGCUACAUCGAAGAACAGCUGUCUAGGCAUCGAACCGUGUUGAACAUAUUUGACAAGGCUCCUGUUAUUGAUAAGGAUGUUUUUGUUGCACCAAGUGCCGCUGUCAUUGGAGAUGUCCAGAUUGGAAAAGGGUCAUCAAUUUGGUAUGGAUCUGUAUUGAGAGGUAAGGGGACUCAUUUCAUCAAUUAGAUAUAAAUUUCAAAAUAUUUGGUUUCAAUGAUCUAAUGCUUUUGCAAUCAAAUUAUUGGUAGUCGUAGUAAUGCUUUAUGGGUAUGUUUGGAUUUGUUUAUUUGAGUUUAUCUACCGACAUAAAAAAAUUUAAGUGCUUAUAGAAACAACCUAUGACAUGUUUAUAAGCUGUUUUCAGCUUAUUUCCAUAUGCUCUCUAGGACAACUUAUGAAAAUAGCUUAUACUUACUUUGUCCCUAAUUAUAAGACUCCUUUCAAAUUAUCAUGUGUUCAUUACCUUUUUUUUUAAAAUUUGGUAAUAGUGACUCACAAAACAUAUACAUUAAUUAUACUACAUACUUUUUUAAUGUGCGUAAAAUGUGUCACAGGGUCUUGUAAAUAAGAACGGAAUUAUAUGAAAAUAUGUGUUAUAGAAUCUUGUAAUUAGGGACGGAGGAAGUAAUUUGUAUGAAAAUAGUUUCAUUUUAUUCUAUCUUUUGUUAUAAAAAUAGCUUAUACAUAAGCACUUCUAGUUAUAAAUGCUAAAUUAAGGUGUUUAACUAAACAAAAUCAAUUUUCAUAUGAGAUACGCUUAUUGUAAAACAAAGACAACUAUUUUGUGCAACUUCAAUAAAGUGUCUUUCUUAUAUAUUUUGAAACAAUGUUUUCAUGGGAAGUUGCAUUUUUCUGAACUUGAAAAGUAGAUUAAAUGUGAAAUCUCUGUGAGUCUCUCUCUAUACUACUUAAUAAUUACAUGCGGCGAACCGGCAAUCAUAUUUGAACUUAACAUUAUGGAUAGGUGAUGUUAACAUCAUUAGAAUUGGAAGUGGAACUAACCUACAGGAUAACUCCCUGGUGCAUGUUGCAAAGUCAAAUUUAAGUGGGAAGGUGUUGCCUACUAUUAUCGGGGAUAAUGUUACUGUAGGUGAGUAAUAUUUUUGCCAUGAUCAACAAAUUGCUACAUUGUACGCUUAAAUUGAAAUUUCAAAUUUCAAAUGUAUAAAAUUUCACGGAGCAGGUCAUAGUGCUGUUUUACAUGGUUGCACUGUUGAGGAUGAGGCUUUUGUUGGUAUGGGUGCAAUUCUACUUGAUGGCGUCGUCGUUGAGAAAAAUGCCAUGGUUGCUGCUGGAGCCCUUGUGAGGCAGAAUACAAAGAUUCCAUCUGGCGAGGUAUGUCUAAGGUGGCUGUAUAUUGUCUGGUACCACUUAUUGAGAUUUAGGAUUGUGUACGGUAUAGUAGAGCCAGAGUUAGCCUUAGGUCACUGGUUUGAAUCCGGCAGGUCGGCCCAAAUUGGUAGAGCCAAAGUUAUCAAAGAAUAGAAGUAAAAGAAAGAAAGCAGAUAGAGAUAGAGAAUGAUGAUGGGAAUAGAAUUCUGUUAUUUUUUUUACAGAGAGAAUUUUCUUUUCACAACUGUCAACAGUUUUACAAAUGAAUAUCAAUGAAUAAAUCUCUUAUUCCUCUAGGAACCUCCCUCCUAAGAAUAAGCUUGCAAAAUAGGAGGGCAGUUGGGUUCCUAACACUGUACAUGUUAGUCUAGCUGUUUUUUUGUAAAUAAUAUUCAUUACUGAGUGAACAUACUACACUGUCAGUCUAGGACUAGGGGAUUCAAUUAUAUUCUGUUUUGUAUAGUUUAUGGAUUUUUUCAUAGAAUUUUUUUAGUGAUAUACUUUAGUUACUUAGAUAAUUUUAGAAUAAAUAUUGUAGCAUUGAAGUCGUUUAGUUACUUAGAUAAUUUUAGGAUAAAUAUUAUGCAUUCUUUGAGUUACUUUUCAUCAUUAUUUUUUUGUGUUAUUAUUUUAAAUUUUACCCGACAAUCUUGUUAUAUUUUUGUAUCCAAGAGUUUUCUGCAACAUAAAGCAUUAAAGCUAUUGUUUUUUUUCCUUAAAAUUUGAAAUUCACCUAUUCUGUCUUAUAGCUGCUAUUUUGUUAUUUUUGUGUCAACACUAGCACUAUGGCUUCCAUCACCAUGACAGUAUGACACCUACAGCCACAACAAAUUUUGUUUACUGUGAGAGUAUGACUUUGGCUCUAAAGUAAACCCCUAGAAAAUAAAGAUAUGACAGAAGACACAUGAUAUGACACCAACUUAGAGAUAUAAUAAAUUUUAGACUUAAUUGCACUCUUGGGCCCCCAAGUUUCACAAUUGUGCGAUUUGGCCCCAAUUUUAAAAUGAGAGAUUUUGACCCCUCAACUUUAUCUAUCCUCUUUUGCAUUUACUAGUCCUCCAUGCACAUUUUGACCAAACAACGCUGACGUGUCUAAUUUUAUUGAUGUGUCAUCUCCACGUGUUUGCCAACAUGGAAACUAACAUUUAAAAUAAAAUUAAAAUAAAGAAAACAUUCUUUUUCACUCUCACUCUCCCAUUUUUACUCUCACACUCCCUUCAUACCCUUUUAAUUUCACCCAAUAGAAUGAGCGAGUGAACUUGACUAUGUUGGCAAACGCUUCUUUGACUAAGUUGCAAACAGACUCCCACAUUCUAGUUUUAUUUUUCUAUGAACAUACUCAUUGGCGAUUGGCGACAGUUUGAAAAUUCUUCAUUGACUUUUUUUUUUUGAAAUUAGAAGGGUAAGAAGGGAGUGUGAGAGUGAAAAAGAAUGGAGGUUUGAUGUGGAGGUGGAAAGAGGAAGGAAAAGGAGGAUUUUUAUUUAUUUUUUAAAAUGUUAAUUUUCACGUUGGCGAAGACAUGGAGAUGCACAUCAUUAAAUUAGUCACGCUAGUGUUUUUUGGUCAGAAUGUGCAUUGGGAUUAGUAAAUGCAAAAGGGGUAAUGUUGAGGUGUCAAAACCGCUCAUUUUAAACUUGGUGGCCGAAAUCGCUUAAUUCUGAAACUUGGGGGGUCAAAAGUGCAAUUAAGCCUAAAUUUAUUAUUAUAGGACAUGCCAUGGCUUUAAUAUAAUAUAUUAAAUUUAGCAUAAAAUAACAUUAAAAGAAUCUUAAAUUAGAAAAGGUACUGAAUGUUUUAAAAGUGAGCAAGUCAUUGUAGACAUGAGUGAAGUGCUAUUAUUUUAUAAUGGUUGUUGGGGUAUUCUCAUCUAUAUAUGUAUAAAAAUUCAAAUGUAAAAGUAAAAUAUGGUGAAAUGCAGCCAGGAGCAUCCAAAGUGUAUGACAUGGAUACAUGUUAAGUUUUCCCAUGUGAGUAAAUCUACCGGUUUGAAAUUUCUUUGCUUCCUUGCUAAAUCUUCAUCUUUCUUAAAUAGAUCCAAAUCCAGGUUCCUAAAUCUUCACUCUUGAGUUGCAUGGUUUUUUUUAUACCUGCUUAUGCAUCUUUUCACAAGAUUUUUAUGUUUUUCCUGUUGGAAAAGAUCUAAUAAAUAUGGCCAAUUCUUGAGCUGCAUGGAUGAUGAUCUUUGUCAAGGAUUCUCUUGUUGUUCCUGUUGUUUGUUCUGUACUCUUUUUCCCUUGAAAGAUUUUAUCCCUUUGGUUUUUUUCUGACAAGGUUUUUAAUGAGGCAGAUGCCAAGUUUCCUUGGUUAUUUUGGCUUGGGUUUUGGUCUAGUCCCCCCAAGUGCCUAUGUAUCUUUCUUUUUAUUUCAAUGAUAUCUCUUGAGUGUUGGAGUUUAUAGGUGACAACUAAGGGGUGCCAACAUAGUUGGGAUGUCUUGGUUUCUUGCCUCUGCACUCUUUUAUGUCUAAAGCAAAAAGUCAGAUACGUCUUGCACCAUGCACAUACUUGUUUCCACCAUUGGAUCAAUAAGUCGUACCCUUGGAUCAAUUGUGAUUUGAUGUGACUUGUUGAUUCAACGGUAGAAAACAAACUUGUGCAUGGUGCUAGACUUAUUUAUUUGUGCACAUUAGACAAAGCCAAGAAAUAUAUAUAGUUUAACCUUCUAUUGAAUUUAAAACAUCAUCUGAAAAUUAUGAUGUUAUUGUCAAUUAUGAGGAGCGCCUUUGAAUGCUGUCAAGGAAUUUAGCACAUGGUUGGCCCAAUUGCUAGACCAAAGCUAUAUUAUGUACACAUGGCUCAUGAAUAUCUAUCAUCUGAUGAAAAGCAUUCCUUAAUUUUGGAUUUUUUUUUUUUGGUCUGGGUAUCCAGCUAGAUAGUGAAGUUCUAAUGGUUGUUUGGCUGCUCUUCUUGAGUACUUGCUACGUGUAUCAUUCAUGAUAUGUAAACUUGCAUAUUUUGCAGGUUUGGGCUGGCAAUCCAGCGAAGUUUCUAAGAAAGCUCACCGAUGAAGAGAUAGCUUUUAUCUCCCAGUCAGCCACCAAUUAUACUAACCUUGCACAGGUCCAUGCAGCUGAAAAUUCAAAGUCCUAUGAAGAAAUUGAGUUUGAGAAGGUGCUGCGUAAGAAGUAUGCAACUAAAGAUGAGGAGUAUGACUCUAUGUUGGGUGUUGUUCGUGAGAUUCCACCAGAGCUUAUUCUUCCUGAUAAUGUCUUACCUGAUAAAGCAAAAAAAGCUCUUAAAAUAUGAGUUCUUAAGAGGCAGUGUCUUCAAUUCCAGUCUUGAAAACAUCAAGGGUAUUUUUUUUCUUCUUUUAAAUUCAUGGAAGAGGAGUUGUUUUGGUUUUCAAUAACACCAAACGUUUUCUAGGCUAGAGUUAUGGCUCCUUUCAAGUUCCAGGAAGCGAUUGCUCAUAAUAUUUCAAACUGUGUUCUCCACUUUGGAUUAGGAGAAAGUAGGUGAUAGGAUCCUGUAUGUUGUGUUUGAUAUAUUAUUAUAUGCAAGUGAUUUCACUUUUUUCUUCAUUGAUCCUUUCCUUCGAGACAUUAUUGACGUUCAUAAGUUCUUGAUGAGAUUAUUAUUAAAACAGGGACAUUUGACUCGUGUUUUUGUUGAGUGUGGAUCUGUACCUAUUCCAUUUUGAAUCUUUUCUGGUCAAUUUGAAAGUUACCAUUUGGAGAAUGAAUGAUUCUUUCAAAAAGGAUGAAAGGGUUGAAUGACGCAAUUCACAUUAAGAUAAGAAGUGGCAAAGAAAAUAAUUGAAUGAAACAGAUCGAUAAAAAAAAUAAUUUGGUAGUCGGUCAAAUUUAUAAGUAAAAAAUAAUUUUUAAGUUCAUCGAAUAACUAAUGUAUUUAGUUUAUAUAUAAGUUAGGAGAAAGAUAUUUGUACAACUAUUAUUUAAUAACUUUUGUGACGAUUUUCUUUUUUAUAUUCACAUUGUAUUUUUACUUUCUCUCUCUGUUGUUUUGUUUUGGUUUAAUUGCAGUUUUGCCCUCCUAAGUAUCACAACCUUGUGAUUUUGGUCUCCAAUAAAAAACAAUAACAAAUCAGCCCCGUAAGUUUUCCCCCUUUUGCACUUUUGGCCUCCCAAACCAAUUUUGACUAAGUUAGUGCAUAUGUGGCACUCACAUCACUUAAAGUGAGGUGCCACGUGUGACUUCCUAUUUUCUUUUGGGGUGAAAAUUGCAAAAUUGUGAUAGUUAGGGGGUCAAAACUGAAAUUAAGCCUAAUAAGGAUCAAAACUGGAAUUAAGCCGAAUAAAUAAAGUGAUAUGGGUGUCAUGUAAGCAUUGAUCCAGUCAAAAUUUGUAUGGGGCUAAAAGUGCAGAAUGGGUAAACUUAGGGGGCUGAUUUGUUAUUGUUUUUUUUAUAGGGUGCCAAAAUUGUGAGAAUUAGGAGGCCAAAACUGCAACUAAGCCUUUUUUUGUGUUAAUUCUUCAUUUUCUUUGUAAAUCAAUGGUUGUCAUAUAACUUGUCAUUGAAAUGGUUGUUCAAAUAACACAGCUCAUAAGUUAGAUACAAUAGUUAUCUAAUAAAUCUAAAAGUUGUUUUUUUCUUAUUAAUGUGACCGAAGGGAGUAUGAAAUAGUUGGUUGUGAGAUAUAUUUAAAAACAGAUGAAGUAAUAGUAAGUCUCAUGUCUAUAUGAUACUAGACCAUUGACCCGUGCGUUAGCACGAGUCAUUUUAAGAGUAAAAAUAAAACAAUGUAGUUCGCUUGAAUGUAAAAAUUGUCGUAAAUCAAAGCAUAAUAUCAAUUAACAUAAACUUUGUUAUUGUUCCAUAAUUCUAGUACGUAGUUCCUGUUACUUUAACAUAACAUAUAAUUUUAAAAGGGAAACUGAAGUUCGUUGACAUGCAAAUAGUUUCAAUAAGUAAGAAAAUGAAUAGUACACAAAAAAGUCCUAUACAUUACAGAAAACUUCUCUGUAGACCACAUUUGAUGCAACAUCGGUACCAUCGCCGUCCUCGUCAUUAAUCAAUAUCUUUAAAACACCCCUCGAAGUAACCCGUGAUAUUGUGACGUACAACUGUCAAUGUGAAAAAUAGGAAACGGUAGGUAGACACCAACAUAUUCUAGCGACUGACCCUGACCCUUGUUAAUAGUCAUUGCAAAUGAGACAGAUAUCGGAAACUGCCUUCGUUUAAAUUUGAAAGGAAUUCUAUUAUCAGAUGGUGUUAGCGAUAACCUUGGAAUAAACACCUUCUCAACGAUAUUACAACCAGAUAUUACCCGUCCUUCGAGCACAAAUUUUCUCAUAUUUGUAAUGAUCAAUCUAGUACCGUUACAUAAGCCCAAACUUUGAUCUAUGUUCCUCAGUAACAUGACAGGUGCUCAUACUUUCAGUCGCAACCGAUGAUUUGGCAAUCCGGACGCCACAAUGGUGUUGAGGAAUUCAGGAGUGUGGAUGUCAUCUAAUGCGUCACCAUCUAUGUUUUUAUGAUAAGGUGUAUCGUAACUCAAAUAGAUUUUUUCUUCACCAGGAAUCAAGUCUAACACAUAAUCAUUAACGUGUUCAACAAUGGUAUUCUUUGGUGUCAAUAUUGCUCUACUUUGAAAAUAUUAUGCUUCCAAUGUUUCCUAACAAAUUUGGGUAAGUGCUGUCAAUGAUAGAUGCAAUAAGAUUACCUGAACUUGGAAAAUUAGGAAAUCAUGGUUAGGAUUUGGAGAAGGGGAAUUAGAAAAUAUGGUUAGGUUUUGAAGGAGGGAAAAGUGGCUACGAUUUUUAGGUUAAAUAUUAGGUAUAAUUAAGGCAACAGUGCUUUGUUUAUGAAUAAGAGAUGAGAAAGAGACCUUAAUAAUCUUAAAUUUGAUAGAGAUUUAAGUAAAGUUUUGUUUAACUCUAAAAAUAAAUGUUGGUUGUUUAGAAUAAUUCGUUUUAGAGAGCUUAUUAAUCACUUGAUUAUUCUUUCUUUUUUGUAUCCAAUUACUUGGUUUUUAGCUUAGAAUAUUUUAUAUUAUUAUUAUUUUGUUGAGAAAUAAUAUUUAUAGAAUUAUUUUAUGAAAAUUUUCUUUUUAUACUCAUACUAUGUUUGUGACUAUGAAAGAAUUCCUCUCUUUAUCUUUAUAUUAUAUUGGUUUUUGUGUCAAACGCCUAUUUUAUUUUCUUUAUAAAUUUACGGUCGUUAAAAUAAUACAUGUAUUUUGUGUAAAGUGAUUUUCAUAAUUCUAUCUGUGUCAUCACAUCAAAUUAAUUUAUUUAUGUUUUUGUGUGUAGGGACAUAGUAAAAGAAGACAGGAAAAAGGUGAUUCGCGAAUCUCUUCCGUUUUGGAUGGAGGGUAAAGGAGAAAAAGCAAGGGUUUAAGAGUGGCGCCUUUUAGAAUAAAGAAUGUGAAAAUGUUGCGGCGCGUUCACCUUAUCAAUAUCAUAAUCAUGCAGUAGAUUGAGUAUAGAUCAAUCAAUCCAGAGAGAAAAGAUCCAUCUUCUUCUGCUUCGGUUCAAACCUAAUCUCAGUUAACAAUGGUUGCCGAAGGCUUUUGUCUGAACCAAAACGGUGAAGAAUUGGAAGCUCCUCCUUUCAUUUUGGGUCUUCAACCAUCUGCACUCGUUGACAACGUGGCUCACGUUGAUUGGUCCUUGCUUGAUCGAAUCCCCGGCGAACCCGGUGGCUCCAUUCCCGUCUGUAUUCAUUCUACUAUUCUUUCAAUUAUUCAAAUAUUAUUAUAAUAAUUUUAUUUAUUAUGUUCUUAGGUUGCAAUUGAAGAGCUUGAAAAUAUACUGAAGGAAGUUAAAUCCAAAUCUAAUUCGGCUGAUUCUUCUGUCAUGAAAACUCUGGCUGGUGGCAGUGUUGCUAAUACAAUUCGUGGUCUUAGUAGUGGUUUUGGAAUUUCCAGUGGAAUUAUUGGGGCUUGUGGUGAUGAUGAACAAGGUCAAUUAUUUGUUAAUAACAUGUCCUCUAAUGGUGUUGAUCUUUCCAGACUCCGUAAGAAGAAAGGACACACUGCACAGGUAGGUUGCUUCACUCACUCCCUUACUUUUUAUGUUAUGGCCCUGUUUGGAUAAACAACAGAGAAUUAAGUCAAAUUGUUUUCAUAAGCUAUCCCAGAGCUCGUGGAAAUAAGCUGAAAAUAGCAAAUAAGUUGUUUUCAUAAGCUCAUACAAACAAUCUUCCAAGCACUUACGUCCGUAGAUAAGCUCAAAUGUGUCAAUUCAAACAAACUAUAGGCUGAUUGUAUUAACUUAUUUUUGAGCUUAUGCAAAUAAAUAAAUUUUCUUUAAUUCAUAAGUUCUCAGUUCUCGCUAACAAAAAUUGUAUCUUCAUUAACUAUUUUUUCAUAAACUACCUUGACAAGCUUAUGAAUAAUACAUAAAAGCUUAUUUAUUUGCGUAAGCUUAAAAUAAGCCAAUACAAACGGGUCUUAUAUAUCAUUGUGACUAAUAACUUCUACAAAUACCAAAUACUUUUUUAUUUUCAUAUUAACUUGGCUUUCUACCAGUGUGUUUGCUUGGUAGACGAGUUGGGUAACAGAACAAUGCGGCCCUGUCUCUCGAAUGCUGUCAAAGUUCAGGUAUUGUUUCAUCUCAAGUUCCCUUUAUGGUUAGGUUAAGGUUCAAUUUUUAUCAAGUUUUUUUUUUUUUUUUUCAUUUAGAAUCUCUUUUCUUUGUUUGAUAGGCUCAAGAAUUGAUGACAGAGGAUUUCAAAGGCUCCAAGGUUCACUUCUUCAUCAAUUAAAAUACUGUAGAACUUGUUAAUUAUCCUGUCUUGUAUAUUUCAAUCAUUUUUUUUUAUUUUUAUUUUUUUGAAGAAAAACUCCAUUAUAUAUUUCAAUGAUGUUGCUUUCAUAUCAGGGAUUUAAAUGACUGGAGUCAAGCAUCCUUUAUUAUUAUUACUAUUUUGAACAUUUAUUCCACCAUAAUGUACUGUAAAAUGAAAUUGAUGGUGCAUUGGCUAGGGAUGGGCAAAGUUCAGUUUAGACCAAAACUGUGUCAAAACUGAACUGAACCAUAAUGCAAUAGUUUGAACCAAACUGAACUGGUUUUCAAAAUAGUUAACUGUUUUGAUUAAAAAAAAACUGAACUGAAUUACUAUUUUAGUUUCAUCUUUUUUCUUUUCUUUUCUGGUGAUAGAGAAAGCAAGACAGGAACAAAAACCGACAGCAAGGCAACAGCUAUGGGUCUGAAAUCUAAUAAAACUAACCAAAAUUCAAGCCCCUAGCUAUGCCUAAACCAACCCGCAACAGCCCCAUCACAGCUCCCAAACCAGAAAACAGCUACUGCAGCCAAAACACCAACACACAGAUGCACAGCUGACAGAAAACAGCCCCAGUAGCUGCUGUUCUGUCAUGACAGCAGCGCUAAAAACAGCCAGCAAGCCACCCCACAGCUGAAACACACAUAAAAACCAGACGAAAGCAACAGCGUUACCUCAAAAGGCAUAUGAAAUUGAGAUAAAUUUUGAUGAAUAUGAAUGAAAUGGGUACCUCGGAGCUGCAACAGUGGAGUUGAAUCACUACGGAGGGAUCCCGACGGUGACCGGAGAUGGAGGGAUCAUGACAGUGACCGGAGAUGAAUCGUUACGGAGGGAUCACGGCGGAGGAAUGAAUCAUGCUUUGUAGGUUUUGUUGGAUGGAUCGCAAGAGAGCAAUGAAUUUGGUCCAAUUUGGGUUCAAUUCAUUCUAUUUUAUUUUUCAAAACAGUUCAGUUACAGUUAGUAACUGAUACUUACAAUACAGUUCAGUUUUGAACUUUUACACACGGUUCAGUUUAAUAUUGGUUCAGUUCGGUUCAGUUCAAUAGUUUGGUUUAGUUUUUGGUUUUUAUGCCCACCCCUAGCAUUGGCCUUGUAUCUUGUCUCUGCAAACAUACUAAAAAGUUUCUCUUCGGUAUGUCCAUCCAUAUAGGUCUACCGCUACUAAUAAUAUAUCAUCUAAGGGUUCUCUGUGAACUUAGUUGUUGAUAUAUUUAUUACAUUUCAGUGGUUGGUGUUGAGAUAUGCAAUACUCAAUUUGGAAGUUAUUCAAGCAGCCAUUGCUUUAGCCAAGCAGGAAGGCCUCCUUGUUUCCUUGGACUUGGCCAGUUUUGAGGUAUUUUAUUUACGCUGCUACUCUGAAUCCCUCCUCCCCAAAAGUUCUUUUUAAAAGAUUGGGUACACAGGUUUGAUUAAUAAAAAACUGGGUUAAAUAUGUUUAGUCCCUACAAAAUCACGAGUUUUCAAGUUUAGUCCCUAUAAAGUUUCAAUGGUAAUUUUAGUCCUCAUAAUAUUGUGGUCCCUAUUUUGAAAACUUUUUAUUAAAAAUGGAUACUUUUUAGUCCUCCAAUAUAGCCCCUAUAAAAUGCAAAUAGGGGCUAAAAGUAAAUAAAUUUUUUAUAGGGAUUAAACAUGAAAACUUAUAAUUUUGUAGGGACUAAAAACAUAUUUAACCCUAGAAAAUUCAACUCCUUUCUAGUAGUUUUUUCUCCCACUUGAGCUUGGGAAGUUUAUAAAGUAAGUUUUGAUUUAUAAGUUUUAACUCAAAAAGGAAAAGGGUUCUGAUACAGAACUACAACUGCUAAAUCAGUAUAAUCACUAGUCAUGUAGUCCACACAAACAAUAUUACUGAACAUGCUUGAUUAAUUGUUGCCAUUUUCCCAACGAGAUCAUAUUGUUCUCUAGAAAAUCUCACAUGAAUAUAUGAUAGUGCACUAGGGGCCUAACAGUAUAAAUAUUUAAUACAAAUAUGCAAUUUUAAUUUUUAACAAGUCCUUUGCAUAAUUUAUUAAACAUUUCAUUUCUCACUCAUGACGAUCUCUUUAUUUUGGCAAGAUGGUCAGGAACUUUAAACAACCACUUCUAAAUUUGCUGGAAUCUGGAAACGUAGACCUCUGCUUUGCCAAUGAGGAUGAGGCAACUGAACUUUUAAGGUGACUGUCGUCAAUAGUAGUCACUAUCAAUCCUGAUUUUUAUCAAGAUAUCAUUUGAGGAAGAUAGAAUUUAUUUUCAGUUUCCAAGUUAUUGCCUGCCUUGAUUUCAUUGUGUAUUUUUUAUUUUAUUUUAAAUAAUUAAUAUAAAGAUACUUUAUGAUGAAUUUUAGGGGCGAACAGAAUGCUGAUCCUAUAGCUGCUGUAGAGUUUCUUGCCAAAUACUGUCAAUGGGCUGUGGUAACAUUGGGCUCUAAUGGAUGCAUUGCUAGACAUGGGAAGGAGGUUUGUUAUUUUUUUGAUGUCCUGUUUUAUAUGCUAUACCCGGUUUCUUCUAUCAUUAUUUUCCCCUCUUUGGGAAUGCGUGCAGUUAGUUUAUUGACUGCAAGACACAAUAUUUAACUCAACACUAGACAUGGUUUAGCUAAUUUCACCCAUUAGGAAAUUAGGAGUUUGGUUUGAAGUCAUAUGCCUCCCUUUAUAAAAUAAGAUUUCUGAAUGCUGAAGCUUUCCUGCUAGCUUAAUGUUCCGUCCAUAAUGUUAGUAUAACAAACACAAAAUUUGCAUUCUCCCCAUCGGUCCAACUCAAAUAUACCAAAGUUCUAGGAAGGAGGUAGAAGGGUGUACUCGGCAGCAUUCUGCAGAAUCUGCAUUAUGUCUGAUCUUUCAUUCAUCAUUAUCAUCAGUAAAGAUUGGCCAACAUUAGCAUCAUGGGACUCUUUUGUAAAGAAAUUGUUUGCUGUUGACAUGAUGAAUAACAAUUGCAAACGAAUCGUUUUACUUGUCAGAUGAUACGUGUCUCGGCUAUAGGGGAAUCAAAGGCAACUGAUGCUACAGGAGCUGGAGAUCUUUUUGCAAGUGGAUUUUUGUACGGAGUGGUUAAGGGUUUGUCACUAGAAGAAUGCUGCAAAGUAGGCACAUGCAGUGGUGGGUCUGUCAUCCGCUGUCUUGGGGGUGAGGUGACGUCUGAGAAUUGGCAAUGGAUGUACAAGCAGAUGCAAGUAAAGGAUCUUCCCACACCUGAUGGCAUAUGCAAAUGAUUAUUGCCAACAUUGUUUCCUAUUUCUUCCUAUUUGUGCUGUUGUUUGUUUUUUCCUUUCUAAUUAUAGUUUUAUUAUUCAUAUCUUACUAUCAAUUGGAACGACCACCAUAAUAACAAUACAAUUUGUGGCUGGUUUGACUAAUGUACUUCAGCUUAAGGCGAUUAUGCACCGUCAUCCCUCGUUUAAUGUUAACCACAGAAUGAGCGUUACUUCAAUUUUUUCUCUGCAUUUAACUUUUGAUGAGCUUGUCAUAAGUAUCACGGAUGAAGCUGCCUGCUCAAAUGUUUUUCCCUCAUUAUUGAUGUACACUUUCAUGAGGUUUAGUUGGUCAAGGGUGAACUGCAACUGAGAACACUGGCAAAAUAAACACCCAAGUACGUAGCUUAUAAGGGUGGAUCAUAGAUUUCAACAUUUUUUUAAGGAACUCUUCCUACUUGGUGAAACAAAAAAUUAUACCACCAUCAAUUUUUAUUUUUUUUCAAAAUCGCUGUAUUUUUCUCGCAUUUAUUGAAGUGGAUCUCAACCCUAAUAUUUAGUUAUUUGAGUCAAGAGUAAAAGUGAACAUAAUCAACUCUCCUAUUUUCCUUAAAAAAAAAAAAACCUAUCUACUUUUUUUUUUUAUCAAUUCUAUCUUUAUCUUUUUUUUUUGAAGGAAUUCUAUCUUUAUCUUAUCAAUUAAUUUUAAAAAAAAUUAUAUCUUAUCAAUUAUUUUGCGUUUACUUAAUGAAGAUAAAGAGUAAAUAAAACAUAAAAUAUGCAAGGCCCGGGUUCAAACUCCGGCCACCAUAAAAAAAAAAAAAAAAAAGCGAAUAGACCAAUGAAAAGUAAAGGUAUAUAUUUAAAAAUUUAAUUAUUAAUUGAAAAGAAUUUUUUUUUGUUCAAAACAAACUUUUUUUUCCACUUGAAUAAAAGUAUCCAUUGCAGAUCAUUCAUAAUCAGUGGCUCAAGAAACAUAGGAAUAACAUAUGAUUGUAGUAUAGGGUAAGGAUAAAAUAAAGGAUGCCAUUGUUAAAGAAUGAACUUAAUUCUAAAAUAAGGACAAUUAUGGAGAGUCACCCUUACAUUGCUAAAAAAAUACUGCUCACCUCAGAUCCAUUAUUGGACAAAUUAGACAACUUGUCAACCAAAACUUUACGGUCAGCCUAUAUAAUGAGAUGGUUGCUCAGUAUGCACCUCAAAGUUACAAUCCAGUCUAAUUUUACACAUAACAACAGCCGGUUGAAAAUUAAGAUCUGAUUGAAAGCAAAAUUGAGGUGCCUAUUAAACAACUUUCAUGUAGCGACCUGGGUCAAUUCCAUCUCCUAGGCUAGUUCAAGUGUACAAAAUAAAUUUGGGAGUCGCGAUGGUUUAAUGGUUGGGAGUAGGGAUGAGAAUAGGCUAAGCCGAGCUAGGCUUUGCAAGGCCUAAGUCUGGUCUGACAAAUUUUUGUAAAGCCUGCGGCCUGUCAUAGGCUUACUUUUUAGGUCUGAGUCUGGCCUUAUGAAAGUCUGAUUAGGCCUACUAGCCUGUUUAAAAGCCUAUUUCAUAUGAAUAUCUUUAAAUAAGUAGUGUAAUCCAAUGUUAAAUAGACUAGCUAGCUGAUAGAUCAAUGAUAUUAAACUCUCUAAUAUUAUUUAACGGAACUUUUAGAGAACUUUACAAUAUAUUAUAUCAUAUUUCAAUUCUAAUUUAUAAUAAUACAUUUAAAUAUGCGAAAAAAUAAUAUAAACUAAUAAGCUUAAAUUACUUUAAAUGUUGACAAAUUUAUAAUUUAAUUCAAAGUAGAGUAUAUAAUAUAAUAUCAAUAAUAUUAUUCAUAUUUACAUAAGUAGGCCAACCUAAUAGGCCUAAAAGGCUUUUCUAAUAGCUUGUGGCCUGACCUUUUGAGCUAAAUAAGUUUCUAAAAAAACAUAGGUCUUCCCUAUUUAAGAAAAAAGUCUGACCUCGUCUGACCUGUCGUAGGCUAGGCUCUAGGCCCCUGUAGACCGAUCUAACCUAUUCCCAUCUCUAAUUGGGAGUCAAAGACUUAAAUAUGGCAACAUUCAAUAACUUAAUUUUGAAAUAUUUAACAGAUCUAGCAAUUUACUAACAUUUGCCUUCCAAAAAAUUAAACAAAUCACCCAUAUUUCAUCGUGUCCAAACUUUCAAUAACUUAAUUUUGGGCAACAUUCUUUUGGGUUGACAACUUAAAUUUUGACAUUUAAAUAUAAAUGUUUUACAAAAUACUUCAUCCGUCCUUUUUAUAAGAAACAAUCAAAAAAAAUAUCAAAACCAAUACAAUCAUUAAUUGAUAGUGGUAAUUGGCUUGGGAGCCAUUAAUUGAUGUAGUUUUUUUUGAAUAUGUUUAUAAUUAUAUCCUCAUAAAAAGUUGUAAAAUAUUAAAUACACCCGUUAACAUUAAAAAUAAAAAAAAUAAAAAAAAAUCAAUGAGGAGUAAAUAAAGUCUUUUAAGCAAAUACCAUCUUAAAAACUGCGACAUUUUCUUAUAAAUAUGACCUUUUUAAAAAUAAAAUAAAAACUUAUUCAGUUACAAAUAAGGACCGGAGGGAGUAUAAUUUAUCUAAACAUUUUUUCCGCAGUUACAAAUAUCUAAUUUCAUAUAUCUUCACAUUCUAAAUAAUUUAAAAAUAAUCACAUCGAUAUCUUACUCAGUUACUCAAAAAUCAAUAUGCAAAACAAUUUUAGUUUUUAAGAACAAUAUGCAAAACAUUAAUAGACUAUAUGUAUAAGACUCAAAAAUGCCUUUCACUGAUCCAUUUCUCUAUUUUGGAAAAUUGGUACUUCUCUUGAAAUUUCAAGUCAUAUGCCCCAAAUCAAAAAAUGACAGUGUGGUUGAUAGCUUAAAAUUGGAAAACUGGGUUUUAUACUAGCAUUUUCAAAAGAUUCAGCUGCCCUUCAGUGGCUAGUGAUAAUACAAAAUCAACUCAAAUUUCAACUUUAUAUGCUCCCGAAGCCUAAAACCAACUAUUACAAGUGAACACUAACCUAAUGUCGGAAACAAUUUAUUGCAAGUGUACACAGACAUUUCACAGACCAAUAUAUCAUCUAACCGGCUACUUGCCGAGUACAUGGAGCAUUAUAGCAUUUUGUGCAUGCAUUCGGUUCUCAGCUUGAGGGAAUACUAUUGAAUAUGGAGCUUCAACAACUUGCUCAGUCACUUCCACCCCUCGCUCAGCUGGUAAGCAGUGCAUGAAAAAUGCCUUUGAACCAGCCGCAUCCAUAAGACUUUGAUCCACCUGCAUUGGGCAUAUGAUUUCAUGUGUGCAUCAAUAAAUAAUUCAAACAUCAUGUCACGUAAUCACAGCAUUUAAUGCCACAAAAUCAAAAUAAUGGCAGAAAAAUAAAGAGUCGGAUGAAGGGGAAGGGAGAGCCUGACAUCCAUUUUGGCACUGUCUUGAACAAUCUAACUUGAUCCUAAGUUCCUAACUAUUUAUGGAACAAUGCAGUGGGAACUUACCUGGGAAAUAAAGGUGACUGUUCAUUCCGAAAUCUAAGUGUGAACAAGUCAAUAGUUAUAAAUUAUAAUUCCUAAAUACUAGUCUAUUCCCAUAGUCUAUGAACUUCUAAGUUUUACUACACAAUAUAAGUAUUUAAUAUUCAUUAACUUGGAACAAGAUAUUUCCUAUUAAUUUGUUACAAAUGGAGGUUUGACCGUUCAAGCUCUUGGGUUAUUGGAGGAAAGGUGGCCUGGCAGAGGAUCAAACCUCUUAUAAAGGGCAGCCCGCUGCCCGGUGCACUAAAGCUCCCACAUACGUAGGGUCCGAGAAGGGGUUUGGGGUUCCACUAUUUGGUGUAUUGUACGCAGCCUUACCCUGUAUUUUACACAAGAGGCUGCUUCCAGAGACUUAAACCCGUGACCUUUCAGCUACGUGACAAACAUAACACAAGCUACUGCCUACUUUGCUCGAAAGUCCAUACAAAAGAUAAAUCAUUUCAAAUACAAAUACAAUAUAAAGUUUCAAACAUAACACAAUCGCAAUCCCGCAAUAACACUUUGUUUUAACUGUACCUAUAAUUAAUGCACCAAUUCCACCCCCACCCAACCUGAACUGUCUAAGCUAAAUUCUAGGUUGCUACAGUAAAAGAAUGUCACAUCUUACAAGCUUAUUAAAAUAUAUCUUGUUUUUACCCAAAAACACUAUAUUUUGUGACCACAGUAUUAUAUUAAGUACCUGAAAUUCUUUGAACACUUGGCGACGGUAUGCAGCUUCUUCCUUUUGCCCCAUGCUGGCCCAUACAUCUGAAUACACAACAUCAGCUCCUUUAACAGCUUCUUUUGGAUCAUUAGUUAUCUCAAUCUUGCUGAUUCCAGCCUUCCUUGCCUUCUCAACUGUUUUUGCAUCAGGUUCAAAACCUUUUGGACAAGCACAAACAAAGUGAAAAGGGAUUACAGCUGCCAUCAACAACCAUGAGUGGACAAUAUUAUUUCCAUCUCCAACGUAAACAACCUGACAUGCAAAGAAUAUGGUCAGGCAACAAUUCCCUUGGCAAUACUACCAAGAAUUAGAAAGAAGCCUACUUUUCAAGACAAACAACAAAAACUGACCUUUGUUCCUUCAAAUCGACCAACAUGCUCAAUCAUAGUAAGGGCAUCAGCCAUGAUCUGGCAGGGAUGGUUGUAAUCUGUCAAACCAUUGAUGACUGGGACAGUUGCAUACUUUGCAAGAUCAAGUAUGUCCUGCAAAUAAUUAAAAUAAAAAGGGGUUAAACUGAAAGUGCUUGUUUAUUGAUGUAAGGAUUAAUCACGUUAGAAGCAAAUUACACGUCCCAAUGAGAUAGCAAGUCUCGUAAUUACAAAGUAGCUAAUUUUAUUUUGAUGCUAAGCCCACUAAAAUUUUAAGAGACCGCUAAUAUCAAAAUAUUUCAGAUAGAUGCUGCCAAUGCCAAGUCCUCGGAAGGUCCCAUGUUUGCAUUACAUAAAUCCAACAUUGCACACACAAUCUAUACUACACCGCAAAAAUAAUAAAGUCGCAUAUUGUUCUUCAAUUAAUUGUAUAUGUAUCAUAGUUGCAUAUUCAGUUAUUUACUCUUUCAAUUUACAAGCAAUUAUCUACAAGCAAUUAUCCUGGCAGGUUUUUACAAUCAAACUUGGUGAAUGCUUCUUUGCAAUUCUGUGCAUGCGCAACAAACCCAAGAGGAUAUAAAUGAUUAGUGACAUCUUAAGACCACUGUCUCGAUUACUCUGUCCCCAAAGUCGGCAUUAGAGCCCUCUGUAAAACAUGCAUCCGGUAGCAUCUAAGUACAAAUUAUAGUUUCUACGUAGUUUUUCUUUCCCACCUCUUAGAAGUAAAUCCUUAAUUCGAGAAUUAAACAUACUAGCCCCUAUCAAAGUUGUUCAUUGAACCCAUGAGGCAUGUAUUGAACCCUAUCCCGAAGUGAAGCCAGUUGCUCCUUUCACACCACUUCGCGCAGGUUCAAUUGAAAUUUGAAUUUAAAAGAUAAUAUAAGCACAAGAAUGGUAUCUGAAUUCCAAAACGAUAUCAAACAUAACUGAACAAAGUGACAGAGCAACUCUAAAUGACCACCAGUGAGCAACAUACCUGAUGAGAAAAAACCCGAGCCAUGAUAAUGUCGUUAUAACGAGACAAAACUCGAGCAACAUCACGAGUCUCCUCUCGCUUACCCAUUUGAAUGUCAUCAGGUCCUAAGUAAAUAGCAUGGCCACCCAACAAUGAAAAGCCAGUCUCAAAUGAAACCCUUGUUCUCAUGGACGGUUUAGCAAAUAUCAUUGACAUUGUCUUCCCUUCAAAAGGUCGAAAUGUCCUGUCCCCUGAUUUCAGCAAUGUCUUGACCUCAAUAGCACGAUCUAAUAUCUUAAAAAUAGUGUCCUUAUCAAAAUCAUCUAUGUGAAGAAAAUCUUUCAACCCAUUUCCAACUUUUUCUGUUUUAAGUAUACAAAACAAAAGAAAGCAGUUGUUUAAAUCAAGAUUGGUACUUAACUAAAUAAAUAUCAAGAGAAUAUAAAAACCCUAAUAAUUUGUUUGAUUAAAAAUGAAAUCUUAAACUAGAAUCGGAUGAGUGGGGUUACCGGUGAGAGGAGAUUCGGCGGAGAGAGCAGAAGUGGCAUGGCAUGAUAUAGUAGUGAGUGGAAAUGGCGAAGAAGAAACGGAGGAAAUGGGAGGUGAAUGGCGGAGAUUGGGAGGAGAAAGAGAGAGGUAGGGUUUGUGUGAUACAACGGCGCAGCAGUGGCCACUCAUCACACCCAUUUUCACUUCUUUGUUUCCACAAACUAUGAGCUAACGACACUUGCUGUUUUUUUUUUAGCUUCCUCAGUUGUACCCCAAACGAGAAUAAUGUUUUGUCUUUAUCUCUCUAUGGCAAUUUUUUCAUUCAUAGUCACUUACUUACUUUUUGUUUAUUUUUAAAUUGAGUAGUGAUAUUUGAUAUAAUUUGUUUUUUUUUAUUGGUCAAAAACUAUGGAGAGAAAAAAAGGAAGAGAGAGAAUAAGAGAAUAAUGUGAAUAUGAGAGAGAAAGUUAUCAUAAAAUGAUUGUAUAAAUAUUAUUUCUCUUUUAAAUUACAAAAAAUUCUUUUUUAAUCACAAAUCGAAAUUAAAGUUAUUUAAGCACAUACUUAUAAAAUAGAUAUUGUUUAACUAUUUUAAGAAUACAUAUUAUUUAAUUAUUUUCUCUUUCAUAUUUUUUACAUUCACAUGUGUCUAAAUAAGUUUUAUUUAUAUUUGUGUCUAAGCAAGUCUACUUUCUUAAAUUACUAACAAUUGGACUCAACUUUUGUAAAAGAAAUAUAUAUAUAUAUAUAUAUAAAUAUAUAUAUAUAUAUAUAUAUAUAUAUAUAUAGUUGUGUUUGGUUUUUACAUAGGACAUAUCACGGAUUAAAAGAAAUUCAAUAAAAUGAAGAAUAAUCUCAAUAAUAAGGUGACUAAUAAAGAAAUUGUCAUCUAAACUUUACCUCAAUCUUAGAAAAUAAAGACAAACUAAUUUUAAUAUUAAAAUUAUUUGCAAGAGAGCACUUCAUUUUGGAUAUUUAAGUCAGUCAUGCAUGUAUUUCAAUAAAUUUUAUUGAUUUGUAUGCAAUUAUUUAUUAUAUAUGACCCAUAAAAAUUAAAGAGAAAAAAUGCUUACAUAAUCACUCUUCUACGUAAACAACAAACAUUGUUCCUCUACAAUGAGAGGAUGCUUAUUUAUUCGAAUGCUAAGGAGGUGAUUCACCAACUGUUAUGGAUGCUCUAAAUGAGUGUGAAUGCUCUAACAAUAAUUAAACUAAAUUUUUAAACACCUAAAUAGCGAAAUUAAAUAAAAUCUACUAAAAUUUGAAAACUACUCUCAAAUAUCACUUGAUUCCAUUUUUUUAUGGACAAGAAUAAAGCAUUUGCCUAUCGUUCAAUUGUUGACAUCUUUGCAAACUUCCAAAUCGUUUGGGCAAGAAUAAACCCACAUUCACUCUUUCUAACACAACACCAUAAGAUGUCCCUUGCUGGGUCUCUCCCACCUCGUUCUAGAAGGAAGACAAUGAGCAUUAUUACUACUACUCUGCUGGAUAUUAUGAACAUCGAACCAAGCAUGCCAGGUUCCCAUAAGUUAAAAUUUUGCUUACCAACCUGAUUUGGGGGUUGCCUGUUGUUAUUCCAAAUGCACCACAAGAGCAUAGCAACCCACCCUGCUAUGAUACAAUACUCAUGCUUGCAAUUUGCAAAUAUAAAAAUUCUGCAUAAGUGCUAAACUGAGCCAAUGUGUUGCAAAACAUUGGUCAAACAUGCGGCCCUCCAGUCACGGGUCUGCUCAGAAUUGGAAAAAAAAAAUAUGAAACUCAUCAUCGGAUUCUCCUUCACACAAAUGGUAGAAUUAUAUGCCGAUCGAUGUAACAAACGAAGCCGUGCUGGAAUGCAACCUGGACACACUCCGUAACAUAUGACUAGCUUUAGGAGUUUGGAGUUUGAAUUAUCAACUUUCUCAUCACAGUGCUCUUUAACUCCCCUCGAUCUUUUUCAUCAAUUUUUGGUCAAACUUUAUUUACUUUAUAUCCAAACUUUCAAUUAUAAAACUCAUUUUUCAUAAUUUUAAGUUUAAACACCAUAACAUUUUCCAAGAUGCAUACUGCAUAACUGCAUAUCAUAUGACCGUAAUAAAUAAAGGGAUACAUACAUAUGGUGACCCCGCGUGUGCUUUUACCCAUAUUGAAAGUGACUCGUGAAUGUAUGUGAGGUUGUAUUUUAGUUCUACUUCAACGUUUGCUAGCUAGUUAGUAGUUACUAUAUACACCACCAGACCAGGCAUAACCCCUCUUCUUUUUCUUAUUUCAACCACCAAGCCGGCAAAUCAUAUUAAUAUAUACACUUAUUUUCCUAAAAAUACCAUCUAUAAAUAAAUAAACACGGAGAGAAUCUUCAUUUGCUUCAACACAAGGCAGGGAAAAACAAAACAGAAUAAUAAUAAUGAAGCAUAUGUUCUUUCUAUUUUUCAUAGUUCUCUAUGUGAUCUCACUACUCAACGUAGAAGCAGACGAUGAGUUUGUGAAAACAAGAGGAGUGCAGCUUAUGCUGAACGGAAGCCCUUAUUAUGCCAAUGGUUAUAAUGCAUAUUGGUUAAUGUAUUUUGCUUCUGAUCCAUCUCAAAGGAACAAAGUCUCAUCAACUUUUCAAGAGGCUUCAUAUCAUGGACUUAACAUAGCAAGAACAUGGGCUUUCAGUGAUGGUGGUUAUAAACCCCUUCAAUACUCUCCUGGAUCCUACAAUGAGGAAAUGUUCCAGGUUUACUAUAUAUUUAAUUUACUGUUCAACCUUCACCAUUUCCAUUUUCUCAAUCAUAAAUUUAUAUAUGCACCAAAAAUUUGAUAUAAUUGUUUAUAUUUGUGCUUCUCUGUUUUGUUGGAUAUAUAUUAAAAAUAAAAGGGGUUGGACUUUGUACUAGCUGAAGCCAGAAAAUAUGGGAUAAAGGUAAUUUUGAGUUUGGUGAACAACUAUGAGGAUUUUGGAGGGAAGAAACAAUAUGUGGAGUGGGCAAGGAGUCAAGGCCAAUCCAUAAACUCUGAAGAUGAUUUCUUCACUAAUCCUGUUGUGAAGGGAUACUAUAAAAAUCACAUUAAGGUAAAUUUUAUUUUCUUUUUCCUAUUGCCAUUAUUAGUUAGUCUUAAUUAGUGUGGGAUUAUAUUUGUAAUGUUAACCUUUUUAACAAGUUUCAUUGCAAAAAAAAAUCCUGUGAUAUUUUGAAACUUAGAAGACAUGUAAAUACGUGUGAGACGUGAUGUAUGAACAUGACAAUAUUGUUCAUCUUUAGUUGUGAACAGAUGUAAAUAAAGAAUAACAUUACAACAUGAGCAAAACUCAAGGCUCGUCAGACAAAUGAAAUGUAAUAUAAAUGAGCAAUUCCAGAAAAAUAAAACUUACAUGACCAACCUGAAAAAGAAGAAAAAAAAAAAGGUUAAACUUAUGGUUUUUUCUAGAUUACCUUUGAAAAAUGGUGGGUAAUUUUACCCACCAACCAAUCAUAAUGAGCAAUUUAUUGGUGGGUAAAUUACCCAUCAUUAUAAUGAACAAUUUACUUGUGGGGUCAAGAUAGUUUAUGGAUACCACCUAAAAAGGUGAAUGUUUAUUGGUUGGAGUAAAUUACCCACCAUUUUUCUAUAGGUACCCUAGUUAUCUCCUAAACUUAAGGAUUGCAUGCUUAAUUUUUCCUACAAAACACUCACGAACUCCUAAAUAUAUAGCUCUUGCGAUUUUUUCUUGUCACUUUUUAUAAGAUUUCUUUCACAUUUUUAAUUGCAGUCCCCCCUAUUGAUUGUUUUGUCAAUUUCAACGACAUAUGAACACCGGUUUGAGGGUUCAAACUCGGACAGUGCCGUUUGAUUGUGUGUGGUGUUUAUUUGCCAUUUCUACUGAGUUGACAAAAAAUUGCACUUUUUUUUUUGUCAAAUAGCCUAGUGGUUAGAGCUCACUCAAUUAAAUUGUUGAGAAGUGGAGUGUCCGGGGUUCGAACCCCGUCCUCUGUAUAUAAUAUGCAAUAUCCCUACCAACUGAACUAAACUCGUCGGAAUAAAAUUGCACUUUAUUACUAUGGUGAAGUCAUAAACCGAUUCUUUCAUUUAAAGAAUAAAUCAGUAAAACAAUAUCAAUUGUGGACAAAUUUAAUAAUACUAACUUGACCAAAAAAAAAUAAAAAAAUUUAAUAAUACUAAUAACUUUUUUUUUUACUCUGUUUUUUUUUUGUUUGAGUAUCUAAUUGCGUUCCAAUGAAAUUGUUUUUAAUAAUGUAAGAAGAGUGAGUAAUGAAUCACAAAAAAAAAGUAUAUUGAAGGAAAAUUCCUCACUAAAUGAUAAAUUUCUGACGCAAAUAUUAUGGUUAUGAAUAAUGAAUGAUCUCUCCAUGGUUGGUUGGUCAAAUAUUUCAUUUUCAUGGACCUCACAACUACUUACAUGUGGUUAAAAUUACUCUGCAAUGAGUAUAAAUGUUCGCCUUUAUGAGCAUGAUGUAGAUGUUUCCACGAAAUUUCCCAACCAAAAUCUGUGUUCCCCACCCACCUAAUAGUUGUCAUGAACGAUUCAUGUAGUUUGUCAUAAAAAUAAACAUUGAAUGACACAUUUAGUAUUUUUCCCCUUGGAUAGUUUCAAAAAGAGUAAUAAACAGAUAUAAUAAAUAAUAUUGGAGAUUUUAUGUAUUAUUUAUUACUAUGUAUAGACAGUGGUUACAAGACGCAACAGCCUGAGUGGAGUUGCUUACAAAGACGACCCUACAAUAAUGGCUUGGGAGCUUAUGAAUGAGAUUAGAUGCCCUUCAGAUCACUCAGGAAAUUCGGUUCAGGUUAAAUCAUAUUUCACUCAUUAUUAUCAUUAUUGUGUGCAUGAGACAUAAAUCUUAAUAUUGACUUUUAUGAUUGUAAUUUUCAUCAGCAAGUAUAUAUUUAUUGUCGUGUUGGUCAAAAAUAAUUAGAAGGUAAAUAUGUAGCCAGAUAAAAGAAAUAGAAAAUAGAUAAAACCUAUUUUACAUUUGAAAGUACAUUCCCUUAUAUAUUUAGUCCCAAUUAGGCAACUUGGUUAAUAAAUUAAGGGACAGUGAUGAAGUUUUAACUCAUAGAUUCAUGGUUUAAUAUUUUCCUUUUUCAUUUUUCUACAGGGUUGGAUUAGUGAGAUGGCAUCUUACUUGAAAUCCAUAGAUGGAAACCACUUGCUUGAAGCUGGUUUGGAGGGUUUCUAUGGACAGUCAAAGACAGAGUCUAAUCCUAACUUCCAAGUUGGAACCGAUUUCAUUGCAAACAACCAAAUCCCCACCAUCGAUUUUGCUACACUACACUCCUACCCGGAUCAAUGGUUUGAAUUCUUUUUUAUUUCAAUACUUCUUUUAUUUCUUUUUUACAAAACAGAAUGACAGUGUGGUAGAUAAUCGAGGGGGUCAAAAAUUCCAAACUAAAAAGCCACGCUCAAUCCUAGAACCAAAUUUAUGCUUGAUGCACUUAGUGUAAAAUACUUUAUUAUGUCGUCUAAUAAUAAUAAUAAUAUAUUGUUUCACAAUGCCCUCGUUUAUUAAUGUUUUAACAUAUAAUUCUUAAAAAAUAAAAGGAUAAUAUGAUAGUGACAUUUUUUUAUUUUUAAUGAAAAUAGUAAUAGUAGUACUUUAAUAUAUAUUGAGAAUGCUUCUUCAAAAAAAAAAUAAGAAAUUUCAAAGAAAGAACAGAACUUUGAAAUAUAUGGAUCUAAGUUUUGGAAAGUCAAAUUAUUUUUCUUAUGAAAAAAAUGUAAUAAGCGUUUAAAAAAUGAGAGUGUUGUGGAAGAUUAGAUGAAAAUAUGAAUUCUAUUCUAUUUAUUAUUUAUUCUUGAAAUAUUAAAAUAAUCGAAAUAAAGAAGCAAAAAUAUUCAAAAAAUGAAUAAAAUGGAAUUCAAAACAAAAAAGAGAAUUUGAUUCUAAUGCGAGGAGAGUUUAAUAAAAAAAAUGAAAAUGUAGUAAGAGGUUAUUACACACGAAUUGUUAUUAUUAUGAGUUUAAUGAAUUAUGAGAGUGGAUUGUGAUUUGGUUUUGUUUGACUUCCCAUGAGCAGGCUAUCUAAUUCAGGCUAUGAGGACCAAAUAUCUUUCUUACGUGGCUGGCUCAAUGAGCAUAUCCAAGAUGCACAGAACAUCCUUCACAAGCCACUUCUAUUUGCAGAGUUUGGCAUUUCAUCUAAAAACUUGGGCAGCAGCAAUAACUCAACAAAGAGGGAUCAGUUUUUCAAUACUGUAUAUUCAGCAAUAUAUUCAUCAGCAAGUGGUGGUGGAACUGCUGUUGGUGGCUUAUUUUGGCAACUUCUUGCUGAAGGAAUGGAUUCUUUCCGAGACGAUUACGAGGUGAUACUAGCCGAGAGCCCCUCAACAGCUACCUUGAUUGCUCAAGAGUCUCAAAAGCUCAAGCGAAUUCGCAAGAUGUAUGCCAGACUCAAAAACAUUGACAAGUGGAACAAGACAUAGAUAUAUCAGUGAUAUUUAUAUUCAGAAACUGAUGAUAAAAUUUUAUUUGGAAAACUAGCAAGAUACAUGUGAUUUCACACGGGUUGCGUAGUCUACUACGCACGUUUGUGAACAUUUAUUUUCUUAAAUUAGAUAACUCGAGGUAUUUCAACUACUUACGUAAUCUGCAAGUUAACUAUAUUGGACUCAAGAUUUAUGUCUAAACUCUAUAGAGGUCAACCAGAUAAUUUGAAGUGCUUCAUAUAACUGUUCCAUCUUGAAUUGUUGCAUUCUUCAGUAUAACGGUGAUGCCUGACCUAAUGUAAAAUCCUUCCUUAGUUCUGUCGGCUUCUUCAACACCCUGAAAGGUAAAGAUGAUUAGAUCAUUAGAGAAGUCUAGAAAAUGAAAUACACCGUUAGUCAAAAUCCUUAGCUGCGGUUUCAGUUUUUGAAAGAUAAAUUAUGAAAGAGCACUUACAUCUGCAUUUGUAAUGAUUGCAUUUCUUCCAAUUUUUGCAUUCUUGUCAAUUAUACAAUUCCUUAAAAAACGAUCAAAGAUGAAAUUAUCAGAAAUAAGAAAAGGAGGGUGCCGUGCCAUCUAAUAUUGAUGAUAUAAAUGCACAUUGGAAAGCAUAGCUCGUCAUGGACUGUUACUUGAACUUCUAAUCUGGAAUCCAGAUAAAGGGAUUUCUAUACGAAUCAAAAUAGUUUUCUGUGUGACAUAAUCGUACCUGAUUUUGGUAUUUUCUCCAACACCAACAGGCACCUUUCCUUCUGCCAGCAGAGAUGCAAUUUCAGACUCAGUUUGAUAGUAAUCAGCACCCAUCAUCAUGGUAUCCUAAAUUGCAAAAUCCAUUAAGAAGGCAUAUACCAAAUAGAAGAUGAAAAGGAAUCAAAAAAAUUAGCUAAAAUUUUAGGCGAUGCCGUUUUUAGUCAUCGGUCAGUAGAAGAGCACAAACUACGGGUCAUCAUGUAAUGCUUCUCCCAAAUACAACAGAGAGAAAAGUGACAAGUGCCGAAAAGUAAAAAUGUAUACCUGAAGCUCCACACCAGACUCUAAACGUGAUCGUAUUCCAACAAUAGAAUGUUGAACACUACACUCCCUCAAGAAGCAACCGUGAGAAAUAAUUGCAUCCACAAUCUAUUGAAACCAAUUAUCAUUCUUACAAUAACAUCAACAACAGAAACCAAUGAAGAACUCAUAUUCAGCACAAAUUCCCUUGUAAAAGCUGGGGGAAAUACCUUGCAUUUUUCUACUUUAGUAGGUGGUAGGAAUCUCGGGGAAGUGAAGAAAGGUGUCUUUGGAUCAUAGAAUUGAAAUUUUGGAGCCUGCAAAUAAUGGCACAAGUAAUCAGUAAAUUUAGUACAUUUUUCCUUUUGAAGAAAAGCUUACUCUAGUAAAAUCACUUACGCUUUUCUCAAUGACAUCAUAUGACAAUCAGCAAAAACAUGGGUACUAAUACUAUACUAUUAAGGCUUAUAAAUUUUGAAAGUUUCUUCAGGUCUGCAGAAAUUUGCAUACUUUUCCUCAUUCUGAAUAUUUCCAUCUGUUUUUAAAUUGAAAUAUGAUCAACUUUUAUUUCUAAAGUUUAUAAUUUUCCUCCGACUUGCUUGUAGUUGAACUUCUAACCAUGCAAAACAGUUUGAAUUGGCUGAAUACCAUUAUAGUCUAAGAGCAUGACCUUGAGAAAUAUGAACCUAAAUACAAAUAAGUUACAGGAUAGUUUAAACAUACAUGUUCUGUUAAGGCCAAAUUUGCAUCGAAGAAGGACUCUAUGGUUCCAAUAUCUUCCCAGUAGUCAUUGAACAAAAAUGCCUGAGAAUGCAAAUAGAAACAGAAAUAUGAAGUUAGUUACCAGUAAACCUAAAGAGAAUUUGAACUUCAAAAAUAAUAGCAGUAAGGAUAUUCCUUUUCACCUGGACAUUGUGCCCACUAACAGCAGAUGGAAUGAUUUCAGAUCCAAAGUCAUUGCAUGUAGAACCGUUCAAUUUUAAUAGUUCCAGUAGGGUCUCAGUUCGAAACACGUAAACACCCAUGGACGCAAUAUAUGGAUUUUUCUUUGCUUCUUCUGGAGAUAACCCAAGAACUGUGGUAUCAACACGCUGCAGUUAUUAGGGAUGCAUUAGCUAGGAAACACCUAGAUUAAACUUACUAGCAAUUAUUCAGGCAAAAAUGGAUGUAAGAAAUAUCAGGCUUGAGAUACUAUUAAUGCACCAUUGCUUUCAAAUCUGAUCCCUUGGGCUUUUCUGCAAACUGUAUAAUGCGGCCCGUUUCGUCAAUUUUCAUCAACCCAUAAUCUGAUGCUCGACUACAAGACACAUAAAGUAAUAUUAUUGUUAGUGAAAGUUCUGCCUCUAGCAAGUAAAGUGGUAUGCCUUCAAUGUAAAGAUAGAAUGAAAGCAUACAGGCCGAUAUUUCAUGUAGAUAGAUAUACCUGUCGUCCAUGGGAAGACACGAAACUGUGAUAUCGGCAUUAGUGUCAAUAUGUUUCUGUAAUGAUAUCCCCAAGUCAAUAUCACCAUUAGUUUUAUAAAACGAAUAACAGGGUACAAAUCCAUUAGUUGUAAUUAUAGAUCAUAAAUUAUAUCAAAUUUCACCUGCACAAAAUCCAUAUAGUUCAUUCGGUAAAGAUGAUCACCAGAAAGUAUCAAUAUAUGCUCAACAUUCUUGUUCUUAGCAUCCUGUAAGACAAUCCUAACACGUUAGCUAUUCUCAAGAGAAACCAGCAUAAGUAUUUUCAGCAAUAGAAGUGAUAAAUAUUAAAGUUUUUCUUCACGAAUUGUAAAAAUGAAAAAUGUGUAUUUGUUCACCAAUAAGCAAAGCAGAAAUCACACUUGAUAAGUUUAUUUUGAAAGAGCCAAUCACAUUUACUCUUGUUUUUGUGUCACAUUGUUUUGUACUAACAUUUAUCAUUAUCCUUUCAGCAAAUAUGCAACAUUACAAUAUUUUACCUCAAAAACCCAUAUAAAUUGCCUCACAGCAUCAGCUGUUCCUUGGAACCAUUUCUUCCCAGCUUCUCCAGAUGUUUGAGUUGCAGCCAAUACCUAUGUGUACGCAAUUAUAUCAAUAACAAUUCAGCAUUACAGUAACCAUCGCCUUUUAUUCUUGUUACAUUUCUAUGAAGACAAUAAUUAUGAAAAUCGUAUGCUGCAUUUUAAACAGUUCAUAAGUAACUCACCUCCACAAAACCCUCCCCAAAAGUGGAGACAUUCCCGAAAUUGUAGGCACGAGACAAGUGACGGUUGAGAGAGAAAGAAUUGUACUGUGUUAAAAUGAAUAUUUUUCUAAUGCCACUGUUGAUGCAGUUGCUCAUAGGGAUAUCUAUGAGUCUGUAACACCCUCCAAUUGGAACCUGCAAAAUUUCACCAAAAUAGUAACAAACUAUGCAUAAUGUAAUUGCAAUUACAAUCACUAGUACUAACCAACAUUGUAACAAUUCAGAGAAAAAGACAGGACCCUGCAUGGAUAAACUUAUUUGAACCUAUCUACUAGCAUAAGCACUUGUGAAAAUUGUUUAGGAAAGCUUGUGAGAAUAGCUUAUGACAUGUUCAUAAGUUGUUUUCAACUAAUUUUCAUAAGUUCUUCAAGAUAAAUUAUGAAAAUAGCUUAUAGCUUAUUUGAAAACAAUUUGAUUUGAUUUUAUAUUUUGUUAUAAAAGUAACCUAUACAUAAGAAACCAUUCUUAAUUAAGCUGAUAAUACAAUUAGUCCAAUAGGAACCUGCGAAAUAAAAUUUCACCUAAAUAGUAACAAACUAUGCAUAAUGCAAUUGCAACCACUGGUACUAAACAACAUUGAAAAACUUUACAGAAAGAACAAAAAAGUAAUAUUUUUACCGCAGGUUUGGCUCUUUUGCUAGUAAGAGGAAAAAGGCGAGUUCCAGCACCACCACCCAAAAUGAUUGAAGCUACACUUUUUGGGUCUGCUUUUGGAGUCUCAAAAUAGGGUCCCUCUUGAAAUGUCUGAAAUCAAAAAGCAAAAAAAAAAAAAUCAAUUUUUAAAAGCAAAAAAAAAAAAAAAGGUGAUUUUUUUCCCUCUUUUGAUGGUAUUAGAAUUGAGUACCGUGGAGUCUUGAUGAUCAUUGAUCCCUGAAGUGAGAACGUUGUGUUCAGCUCCAUUUUUAGGAUUGAAUGAUUUGGGUGAUUGAAUGGUAAGGAAUCUUGUUGUGCUUAAACUUCCCUUAGUAGUUUCACCUAAGAACACACUGUUUCUGGUUCUUCUUCCAACUCCUUCAAUACUAAUUUUGCUUAGAUUGGUACUGAGGGGUGAUGCAUAAGUUGAAGCUAUUGCUGAAUCCAUAAUUGAAUUGAAGAGAAAGAAAGGUGAGAAAUGGAAGGAGGAGAAUGUUGUAGUGACAGACAGAGAAGAAGAAAUGGUGACUCACGAGAAGCUUGUUAAGACACUCUACGCUAUUUCUCUCUCUAGUCAGACUCAGAACUGCCUCUACAAAUUUCUAUGAGUGACUUUCAUCCCAUUUUCUUUUUAUUUCAUUUUUAUUAUUGCUACUAUUAACUCUUUUAACUCUUCAUUUGGUAAAAAAACAAACUUUGUAAACCAUUUGAUCUCGAUUUAACGAUCAUGAUUAUCAUGGAGUGUAAAUAUGUCAAAAAAAUUACUAUAUGAAAUUCAAUAUGGUAAACAUGACAUGUUUAAAAUGUAUGAAUCUUUUAUCACUUUUAUCAUUCACAUAUUGGUUAAAAGUAAUUCAUCACAAUUACACCUUCAUUUUAUUGUGAGAAAAAAAAUGUAUCUUUUUAAAAAAAUAACAUUAGCUUAGCGUGAUUUUAUUCAAUUUACUGUGAUAUCAAAUAAGCACUAAAUUAUGUGAAAAAAGAAUGAUAUGAAUGUAGUUAGCUCUUUUUAGAGUGAGAUUAUGAAUUAUUAUUUUUACUAAAGAGAGAUUAUGAAUGUUGUUAGUUUUGUAUUUUUUUUUUAGGGAAUGAAUGUUGUUAGUUGAUUAGUUCAUCCAUGUAAGUAAAUAAACAUGGUAUGAUUGUAUUGUUGACUUAUUUUUUAUGGUUUGAUUAAUGGUUUGGCUGCGGAGCACAGUGCUCUUAUUAUUCUUUCAUUUACAUAUGUUUUAUUGUGCUAGUAAAUAGUAUGAUUUUGUUUUUUAUUUUAUAUCAACAUUGAUUUUAUUUUUAUACUUUGGUUUGAGGCGUAUAAAGUAAUAAAAUAUUUUUGUACCACUUGUAAGUGGACACAACAUUUAGAAAGAACAAUAGUAAUUUGUACAAAAAAAAAACACAAUAGUUAUGGUGAUGUUAAUGUGUAAGUUCUAUAAAAAGUAAUAAUAUUACCUUAUCAGUAUUCGUAUUACAUAAUUACACUAAAAAUUAGGCAAAAGAUAUAUUCCUAAAAUAACAUGUAAAUUAGAGUGGAUGGAGUAUGUUAGAGUGUGUGAUGGGUGAAGUGAAAGUGUUGUAACACUAAUGCAAGGAUCUAGAUGUUCAAUUCCAAUAUGAAACAUAAACAAAACAAAAAUGUAUGAUUUAAGUAUAUAUUGUAAUUUUGUGAAUUGGUAAUAAUGUGUUCAAACUCAUAUAUGUAUAAAACGGCAAUAAUUGGAUGUUGUCCUUUAUUUUAAGAAAUAGAUAGGAUCUAAACUCCAAAUGAUUAGUCUUUAAUUUUUCAGCCGAAUAUCUUGGACAACCAAUUUUAUAUUUAAAAAGAAAACGCAUUAUGUUCAGGUAGAGUUGCAUAAAUAAACACGGGAGAGACGGUAUCUGUUGUUUUGUUUUUGUGUGUGUGUUAUGUUGUCGCGUAACAAGACGGUGGAAGAUCUCUAAGUUUAAGGAGAUAAGAUAAUGGCCUUGUCUAGUCUAAUUCAACUUCUUCUUCUAGUUUGGAUUGCGAUAAAUGAUAAUGACGCACUGCGCAGGGGUACAUGGAACUUUCAGGGCCAAUAACAACUAACUGGUUGGUUGUGACAACUUUUCAAGGUUUUGAAAAUGAAAUGAAUAGAAACGUCUAUAGCAUAGCAUGUGCACUAUGAAAGAAACGAUGGCAUGAGUUUAGCACGAUGCUUUGUCAAUUUAUCUCUCCCAUUUUUAAUAUAACAAUAAAGCUCUCAAGUAUUAUUUCACAUAAUUUUUUUUUUGUUAGAAAACUAAAGACAAAAGAAAGAAAAACGACAAAAUGAAGGAGAGACUAAGCUCUAACAAACCAAGAUUUUAGAGUCUACUGAAAGAAGGUUUAAGAUGUCGGUUGAAGUUAAAAGGGGAGAGGUGGAUCAUGAUAUAGAAGAAGCUCCUAGUUUAACAAGAUGUGAACAAUAUGAACAUGUCGAUUUUGAUGGAGGAGGUCUUUGAUGUCUUCGAUCAAAGUGACAUAUUUGCGAAAUCUUGGUAUUUAAAAAUGGAGGGUAUCAACAUAGUGAAGAGAUUAUGUGUAACAAGUAAUGGUGAUUCAAUUGUUUAGCCAACAAAAGCACUUGAUCUAUUGCAUGGAGUUCAACAAUGGCUUGCCCAAAGAUAAUCGGGGAAGCAAGGGGAUAAAUGUAUAAGUCGUAUUAUGGGGUUCGAUCAUAAGGUGGUAUUAUGGGAUUGCUACAUUGGUGAUGCUAGAAGAAUUGCGAUUACGCCAAGCCCACUAAAUGCCUGUUGCAAAAAUACUGAAUUUUUUCAAAUAACUCAACAUAAUCACCGUUACCAAUGUAGUCAGAAAUACUGGUGAUGUUAGACAAACCCCACUUAAGCCAGCUAAUUGAAUCCAAAUUGAAAAAGAACCCAGCAUAAUCACCAUUACCCAUAAUUACUUCUUUUUUUUUUCUUUCAAUUCUACCAUCUAAUUUAUACUAGUUUCAUCAUUGUUAAAUCAAUAUAUACUCACAUACAUUUAGGGUAAUAGUGAUUAGAAUAGUAUAUGGUAAAAUAAAAACAAUUUAGUGAAAUUAUCACUUUCUCAAAAUCAUUUAAGAAAAACUCGAAUGAUCAAUUUAUAUGACCCAAUUUAAAGUAGCAAAACUUUGUAUGGACUAACCCAUCGAAAUUGGUACCGAUGGAAACUAUAUUUAAAACUUUGAGAGGAACACACUUCAAGAUCCUAAGUCAGCACCAACAUACCAACUCAGUCACACUUUUCUUAAUUCGUGUGAAAUUAUCAAACGGGUCACUCAUUUUCAAACAAACUGAAUAUAUGAUAGAGCAAUCUAUAUAUGAAAUACAAUUAAUUAUUGAUGUCGAAUCAAAGAUUUAAUCACGGUAUCGUCUUCAACUAUUACUCGCCUGCUUCAAGCGAUUAACGUUAAGGAAUAAAUUAUAUGUCUCCAUUGUAGGUUCAUCAGGAGAAACUACAUAUAUGAUCACUAUCAUUUGUUAAAUUUACACCAUUUGAAUUUGCAUGUUAUUUUAAAAAUACAUAUUAUUUAGUGGAAAUGUAUCAUUAAAAAAAAAAAAAUCUCUUAUGUCUCUGCUCAUUUAUUUUGUACACAAAGACCAAGAAAAUAUUUUUUUUAUAGUGUUUAAUGUUGUUUCUCAUUUUUUGUAGAUUGUUCUUUUUUUUUUUUUUAAUGAGAUUGAACUAUUUUAAAUAUUAAAAUAGUUUUUUUUUAAAUUAUGAAAACUUGAAAAUAAAAUCAUGCAAUCAUCAACUUUUGGACUCACAAAAGGAAAAAAUUCAAAAGUCUAGCAGAGCUUUAAUCGUGUUUCAAGAGUACUUAAUUCAAAACAAUAACAAUAAUAGAUUGCUCUAUGAGCAAACAUAAACACAAAAAAUGCAAAAAGUACUUUCUCCAUGAGCAAACAUAAACAAGUUCCAAAAGCUAAACAAAAGGGAAACCAACAGCAAAUGAACACCUCAAGGAGCAUCUCCCACAACACCCGCAACACCCUCCCCUCCUGGUAGCCUCUCAUGCAAAAAGGCAUAGAGCUGCGCGAAAGUAGCAUGGAGCCUCCCAUCUAAGCUGGCAAAGAGGCCUCUCACCGCAUCUUCAGUGAGUGCUUGCUGCUGCAGAUUCAAAACUUGGUUCUGCAGCUCCGCAAUCUUCGCAACAUGAGCACGGACCUUAGCAAUCCUAACACAAAGAUAAGGUGUUGCACUGCCACGCCUGUGCAUGACCUUAAUUUGCAUCAUGCACUGCUCCACGUACUUGUCAGCCAUGUCAUGCUCGUACAUAAUGUCAUUCUUGAUGACAUCCAUAUGAUAUCCAUGCUCAGCCACUCCUUCGUAAAGUAUGACCUUUCUAACAUACUUAAAUUUGUCCACGAGAACGAGAUCUUCGGACACAUAAUAAUCAGGCAAGGCAAAGGAAAUGCAACAAUGUCCACGAAUCCAUCAACCACAAACUGUUGGAGCAAUCCACCAGCAAUGGUAAGGACCUCCGUCGGAGAUAUAGCGGUAAAAUAGUGAGGAUCCAUGAGAUCAGAAAAGUGUGGGUUAAGGAACUUUUUUUUUUCUGUUCUUUCAUUGGUCAAGAGAAAAGAUCUGCACUGCGCCUUCAAAACAAAAAAAAUAAAAAAUAGUUUAAAUUAAAGGUAAAAAUAGAAGAAAAAGUUCAGCACAAAAGGGUGCAUCUACUUUUAUAUAUUAUUGGUGUAGAUCUUUUUAAGACAUUCAUCCAACAAAAUCACCUUCUAAUUUCAAUUUUUUAGAUCAAGUUUUAAAACAUGCCUACAAACAUGAUUUAAUUAAAGACAUAUUUAUACACACCUUAUCCUUUAAUUGAAUAUCAAUAUGUUUAAUUUCUUCUUACAAACUAUUGAGUACUAACACAUUUGUCUAAAAGUUUUAACUAAACAUGUAAAAAUAUCAAAAUUUCUAGGUCGAACCUCAUGAUAUGAGUUUGAACCCUGACACGUAUGAUGAUGUUGAUGUUUGAUUUACUCUUCAUGUGUUGUUGUAUAAUGCUUUGGUCGAGUUGAUACUCUGUUCACAAUCAUAAUGUAUAGUUGUGUUGAUGUUCAUUAUUUUAUUAUUGGCGUUUAUUUACAUCUUUCUAUUGUUUCAAUUUAUGGAUGAUUCACAAUUUCAAUCACAAUGUAUGUGUCUCUGGUUUUGUUCUUUUUAGAUUGUUUCAUUUUAUCAUUGAUGAUUCAUAGUCGCAGUGCAUGUGUAUGUGACGUUGUUUCGUUCUUUCGGAUUCACUUUGUGUUUGUGUUGUAUUGCUUUGUGUUGUUGCAGAGUGAAGUUCUUGGUUGCUUAAUGGUGAUUAUUGUUGUGCAUGUUGAUUUGGAAGUUCUCCCAGUUACUCUUUUGAGAUUUGAUUUCUAGAUUUUUUCAAAGAGAUUGAUCAAAAAGUUGUUGUUCAAGUUGCUUAUGCGUUUCUAGCUUAGUAAAACUAGAAACUACUUCUAUUUCUGUUUUAUUUACCACAAAUGCUACGCAUACACAUUAUUUCACUUAGUACUCUAGAAUUUGCGGUGAAUAAUCCUUUAAUUUGUUUUUGUUGUUUUAUUUUCAUGUUUUUUCUAAGUGUGUCAUGUGUGUGUUUGUGUGAGAUAUUACAUGGGCCCACACAUUUCAAACAUACUGAAUUUUUGCAAAAAGUUAAGUGUAAGUGCCUCACUUUUUUAACAUGGCACCAUGAUUUGAUAUGUGUAAAACAAAAUACAUAUUAAGUGUAUAUAAAUUAAAUUCAUAUUAAUACACACCUUAUCGGUCUAUAUGUUUAAUUUAUUCAUACAAAUUAUUAAGCACUAACAUAUCUGUCUACAAGUUUUAGGUAAACAUGUAAAAAUAUUGAAAUCUCUAGGUCGGACCUCAUGAUAUGAGUUUGAACCUUGAUACGUUCACUUAUGUACGAUGAUAUUGAUGUUUGAUUUACUCUCCGUGUGUUGUUGUAUAAUGCUUCAAUUGAGUUGAUGCUCUAUCCACAAUCGUAAUGUAUGGUUAUGUUGAUGUUCAUUGUUCUAUUAUUGGUGUUUAUUUACACGUUUUUAUUGUUUUAAUUUAGGGAUGAUUACAAUUUCAAUAGUAAUGGAUGUGUAUGUGGUUUUGUUUGUAGAUUGUUUCAUUUUAUUAUUGAUGAUUCAUAAUCGCAAUGUAUGUGUUUGUUACGUUGUUUUGUUCUUUCAGAUUCACUUUGUGCUUGUGUUGUAUUGCUUUGUGUUGUUGCAUAGUGAAGUUAUUGGUUGCUUGCUGGUGAUUACUGUUGUGCAUGUUCAUUUGGAAGCUCUCUCAAUUACUCUUUUGAGAUUUUAUUUAUGGAUUUUUUCAAAUAGAUUCAUCAAAAAGUUGUUGUUCAAGUUGAUUAUGCGUUUUUAGCUUAAUAAAACUAAAAACUACUUUUAUUUCUGUUUUAUUUACCACGAAUGCUACGCAUACACAUUAUUCCACUUAAUAGGAUUUCACAUAACAACACUAGAAUUAUGCAGUACUUUAGAAUUUGUUGUGAAUAAUCCUUUAAUUUGUAUUUGUUGUUUUAUUUUCACGUUUUUUCUAAGUGUGUCACGUGUGUGUUUGUGUGAGAUAUUCAUUGGCCCGCACAUUUCAAACAAACUGAAUUUUUGCAAAAAGGCAAGUGUGAGUGCCUCACUUUUUUAAUAUGGUACCAUGAUUUGAUAUGUGUAAAAAAAAAUUACACAUUAAGUGUAUAUAAAUUAAAUUCAUAUUAAUACACAUCUUAUCCUUUAAUUGAAUUUCAACAUGUUUAAUUUCUUCAUACAAACUUUUAAGCACUAGCACAUUUGUCUACAAGUUUGAACUAAACAUGUAAAAAUAUCAAAAUCCAGGGACGGCCCUAGGGCAUAGGCCGCAAGUGCGACGACCUAGAGCCCUUGCCGGUAGGGGGCCCAAAUUUUUUUAAGGUAGGGGUGUUUAUAGAAAUAUUUGGAUUUUAGGGGGUAUAUAUAGUAAAAUUCUCUGAAAAGGCCCAAUCUUUGACAUGUUAUAGAAAUGGGCUGAAAUCUAUUAAUUGUUUUUUGCCCUAUUAGUGAGAUUCACUAUAUAUAUCCUAUGCAGCACAAAAAUUUCUAUAUACACCCUCCUAUAAUUUUUUUUGGAUGUUCUUAAUAAUAUGCUUGAAAAUUUAUUAUCGAAGAAAUUAGUGAUAUUUUAUUGGGCCCUUUGUUCUUAAUAAUGUGUUUCACUAAUAUUAAAAAUAUCGACGAUAUUUAUUAUCCAAGAAAUUGAUAUAAUUUUCAUUACAAAGCAAAUUCUAUUUUAUUUGAUAAUGGGGUGCUAAAAUUUCAGUCUACUUCGCAUGUGCUAUUUUUCUCUACUUGUACGAUAUUUCAUUUUGUUUUGGUGUAUAUAGAGUAUUUAAUUUAUUUUCAGAUGUUAUCUAAAAAACAUUUAUUUGGUAGUGAAAAGCGAAAUAAAAAAACAAAAUGAAGAGUUAAAAAAACACAACAAUGACCUAAAAAAAAAUAUAAUGUAUUAUGUAAGGGCCCUAUUUUUAUAUUAUGCCUAAGGCCCGUAAUACGCUAGGAACGGCCCUGUCGAAAUCUCUAAGUCGAACCUCAUGAUAUGAGUUUAAACCUCGACACGUUCACUUAUGGGUUUACAACAAUUUUGUCAUUUUUUCUAUAAAAAAGGUUCUAUUACUUUUUUUCUUUUUUGUCAAAAAAACAAAACACAUUUGUCUUUGUUUCAUUUUUAGUUUUCUUUAUGUAGCAAAUGAGGAUGUAUUCUAAACCUUAGCCCUUUUUUGACAUAAUAGGCUAGACCUAUUGAUUUGGAUACCAGUAGGCCAAUAUAAAAAAUCACGGUUCAAUAAAAUAAUAAAAAAGUGUACAUUUUUACAUGUGGUACAACAUAUGCAAGAAAUUUAUCAUAAGAUUAACGUAAAAAAAAAAAUUAUCAUAAUAAAUAUUUUCUAAUUCAAUACAAAAAUAUGAUAAGCAUAUAAAUUAGUUAGGGUAAAGGAUAUUUUUUUUUAUAUAAUUUUAUUUCUCUUCAUAUUUUAAUUUUAUUUCAUUUUAAUUAUGUUUUGAAACAUUUUUAUGUAAAUUGUUUUCGUCACUACAUUAUUUCUUCUUCUUUACUAAUGUCACGGGCUUUGAAAAAUCGAACCCAGUCCAAAUUUCCAACCCAAAAGCCCAAAAUAUAUGACCCGUUGAAAAAACACGAAAGCGAAAAACCCCAAUUGCAUAAACCCUAAAAAAGAGACGGUAGCAGCUGAAGAAGAAGCAGCAAAGCAAAACGAAACGAAAAAAUGAGACCUUUGGACGAGACAGAAACGAGCGUGGUUUUCGAAAAGCUCUUCAAAUUCGUAGGAAACAACCUCAAAAACCUCGUUGAAAAUCCCUCACACGAAGGUCCCGAUUCAAAUCCUGGUCGCUACUGUUUCCGUCUCAACAAGAACAAAAUCUAUUACUGCAGCGAAUCCCUCGUCAAGCGUGCCACCAACAUCGCUAGACCUAACCUCGUUUCACUCGGAACGUGUAUCGGAAAAUACACACACGGUGGAAAUUUUCAUCUCACCGUUCAGGCGCUGAAUUUACUUGCUGCGAAUGCCAAGCAUAAGGUAUGGCUUAAACCACAAUCUGAGAUGUCGUUUUUGUAUGGGAAUCAUGUGUUGAAGAGUGCGUUGGGUCGGAUUACGGAGAAUAUUGUUUCUGGUGAUGGGGUUGUUGUUUUUUCUAUGUCUGAUGUGCCUUUGGGUUUUGGGGUGGCUGCUAAGUCUACACAGGAUUGUAGGAAGUUGGAUCCUAAUGGUAUUGUUGUGCUUCAUCAGGGUGAUAUUGGAGAGUAUUUGAGGAUUGAGGAUGAGCUUUGAAAAGUUUUAAAUUUUGGGUUUUUUUUAUUUUUUAUUUUAUGAAAUUUGAGUCGUGGGUUAUCGUCGUAAUGGUUUAUCUUUCUCUCUAUGUAACUGGGUCUUUUAUUUUUAACGUGGAUCACUGUAAAAGUUAUUCUCCCUUAUUUUUGAAUGUUAUGAAAUUUUGUUUGAAGUAUUAUUAUAGUGAUAUGGUUACAUUUUCACCCUGUCAAUUACGUUCUGUUUGGAUUUAAUUAUUUGAGUUUGUGUAAGCAACUUGUGACACUAUACGGAAAUGUUGAUAUGCUGUUUUCAACUUAGUCCCGUAAGAUCUCCAUGAUAGUUUAUGAUAAGUAAAGUAGUUUGCUUAUUUGAAAACUGUUUGACUUUAUUUCAUCUUUUGUUAUAGAAAUUGCUUAUGCAUAAGUACUUGUAUGAUAAACACUUGAUUAAGCUGUUUAUCCAAACAGUGUUUUUAUAUACUUAGUACCUACUCUUUUUGCUUGGGCUUCUGCCCCUGCAAUUCACCAAAAAAAAAAUCUACUCUUUUGCUUCCUUAGUCCCUUGAGAUUGGUUUGAUGAUUAAGUUCCUCUUUUUUGUCGGGAUCUCAUUUUAUGACUAAGAAUUGGUGUAAUGUUUAUGAGUUGGGUAAUAACUAGCUCUUGCAUCCGCCAUGGUUUACGCAUUUAGUUUAGUUGAACUCUUGUAAUAGCAUAAACGCACCUUCUAAUUAGAAGUACACUUUAGAUGUAGCGGUAUAAUUAGAAGUACACUUUACAGUUUAGAUGUUGCUAUGUUAACCUCAGAUUCAUUUAGGUGUUAGCCACAAGUCUUCUGUUUAAGCAAAAAAGUGAUGUUUUAUUCUCAUUUCUGGUAUGAUUUACUGUAGUAUUUACUACUUAUGUUUCUCCUGCAUUAGUUAGAAUAUAUGAAGACUUAGAUUUUACAUGUUAACUUAAUCUAUUGUUUGUGUUUUUUUUCUGUCACGAUUGAAGUUUGGGGCAUAUCAAAUGUUGACUUGGCGAUCUUAGUUUUUGGUUAUGGUAUAAUCCAGAUUGUGUGUGGUGUCAGACUAAAUCAAUGAACUUCUUGUGCUAAUUACAUGUUAUCUGAACAUUGUUAACUCAAACUAUUGUUGUCUUCUUUUUCUGUCAUGAUUAAAGUUGGGGGCAUAAUCAAAAUGGUGACUUGAUGAGCUUAGUUUUUACAUAUAUGUUAUAAUCAAAAGGGUGGCAUAUCCCGACUAAAUCAUUAAACUCCUUGAUGCUUACUACAUGUGAUUUGUACAUUGUUAACUUAAACUAUUGCUGUAUUUACUUUUCUGUCAUGAUUACCACAGAGGGCUCUCUUUUGCCACAAAGUUUUAACAAUUGAGAUACUUAAAUGCAGUUUUGUAUUUGUUGAUUUGCGAAGUCAACCUUAGAUUCAUUUAGGUGUUAGCCACAUGUCUUCUGUUUAAGCAAGAAAAUGAUGUUUUAUUCUCUAUUUCUGGUAUGAUUUACUGUAGUAUUCACUAUUGAUGUUUUUCCUGCCUUAGUCAGAAAGAAUAUAUGCAUUUCUCACUGCUUAGAUUUUACAUGUUAAAUUGAACUAUUGACGUGUUCUUUUUCUGUCAUUAAAUUGAACUAUUGACAUGUUCUUUUUCUGUCAUGAAUGAAGCUUGGGGAAUAAUUGAAUGGUGGCUUGUCAGCUUAGUUUUUGGUUAUGGUAUAAUCGAAAUGGUCGGACUAAAUGAAUGAUCAUUACUCUGUGACUGUUGUAAGCAUCCAAUAUGAUGAUGGGUGGGUAAUAUCAGGUUAGUUUAAUCACUCUUAAGCUACAUAGCAUUGACCACUAAACCAUCCUCAUUGGUGCUGGAAGAAAAAAAGCUGAUUGGUGCGCUCAGUGAUAUAUAGUGAGAUGAACUGUUACAGAAUUAUCUUUUACCUAAAAGAUGACAUCCUCCCCAAGACUUAUAGCAAAGGUGUUAAUUCAAACACAAAUCUCAAAACCUAGAAGUUUGGUCUUGAUUGGGGAUGUGAUGCACCCGGACAACGUAGAGGUCCGAUUCUGUAUUUAUCGAAAUUACCACACAAUAAAAUAGGUGUCCUUGUAACCUUGUGGGAGCAUGUAGCUCAGUUAAUAGAGAAUCAGGGGUUGAAUCCAAAGUAUCUCUUCAGUAGUAUUAGGCAUAGUUCAAUCAACUUUUUGAUGGACAUGGCCUUCAAAGCCAGCUUUUGAAUCCCCAAAUUCUGAAAAGUAUUACAUGGUUCAAACUGAGUUUUGGUUCUUGUUAGACCAACUCCUCAACAACAUUGAUAUUGAACCAAAACUCAUUUUGAGCCAUGUUAUACUAAUACCCCAAAUCCAAGUUAAGGAUAUCCUAUGAAUGAAUCUAUACCCGAGAUGUGUCAAUAUGGGUCUUGAUUCAUGAGUCGAUCCUACCUAGUUUGACUCCGUGAUGGGUUGAGUUUGAGAACGCUGACCAAUUUUCUCUAGUUAUUUUGACCCUGCUCAGUUAGGUACUGUUUACUUUGUAAAAAUGUGAACAAGGAGCAAUAAGACUUGUUAAAUUUAGCCACUUGAUGGAUAGAAAAUAAAACGAUAGCUAAUGAUGAUGCAUUUAAGGAAAUAAUAAAAAUAACUCUUUUGGCAUUUUUGUGUAUGGAAAUGCAAGGCAAUUGUUCACCUCAUGCGUCUCUUUUCUCCUUGUUCAUAUAUAUAUAUAUUUUUUUUUGUUACAACGUUGUUAAUAAUUAAAACUAACACAAAUUUUAAAAAAUAAAAAUAAAAAUGACCUUGUUAUUAUUUAUAUAAGUUAUUCAUCUCAGUAAAUUGUGAAAAACUGAAAUGGAUCGUGAAUAAAAUGAUUUAAUUUUGUGUCGCGAGAAAAAUAUUGAAUUGGAUAGCAAGGCAAGAAAACAGAACAUAAUCACAACCUAUUAUUUUAUUGUGGUUUUAAUUUUUAAACCUUUAAUAUGGGACCAAUUUAAAAAGAAAAUAAACAGGAACACAAACAUCGUAUAGUUAUUCUAGAUUCUUUAUUUGGAAGUACCUGGCUAAUAUCCACUUGCUCAGUCAAGCAUACAGCAAAUUAAAGAAGAGAAAUAAUAUGAUUUGGGUCCUGACUCAAGAGUCGACACUGUUCCACAACUUAGCUCACUUAAAUUGUGCAGUAAGUUGGUUUUGAAACGGGUUGGCUCACUUAAAAAAAUUCUAACAUUUUUUUUCUUCAUAAAAUGUAAUCUAUUUUAACUUCUUUUUUAUAUUUAAGUGGUCCAACUAUGAAAAGAAAAGUCACUUAAAAAUUAAACAAGGAGUGGUUGGGAAACUUUUUGAUCAACCUAUGGUGGAUUUAUUCACUUAGUUUGAUGUCAAUUGUCAUUUUUUUUUUUAAUCAAUAUGUAUGUUGAGAAGGGAUCAAUUAAUAUUGUGUAACACUUGUGUGAUAUUACACCGUCGAUAACGUUUUAUUAUUUACAUAUUUUACAAAACUUAUUUUUAUUUUGGUGGUGGACGAGGUUUGAACCUCGAACUUUGCAUAUAUUAUGCAUUGUCCCUAUUAACUAAGCUAAGCUCACGAUGACACAUAUUUUACAAAACUAACAGUUGAAUUGAGAGUUCAAAUGAUAUAGAUCAUUUUUAUAAUUUAGUAUGGAAAUUUAAAAUCAUUUGAUGUACAUUGAAAUGUGUCAAAAUUAAAGUUUUAUUCAAAGCUUAAGAUUUUAAGAUGUCAUCUUGAAGCACCUAAUUUGAUUCCUCAUCGUUUACGUUUUUUAAAUUUCACACAAAUAUGCAAAUUUUCCAAUCCACAAAAUCACUAAUUACUGAAUACUUUAAUUGUGGUAUUUAAAAAAGUAAAACCUUCUAGUUUAUACAUUUUCAUUUUUUUGGUACAAUAUGUAUAUUCUUACUGUUAAAACAUUUCAUUGUUUUACUAUUCUACUUUUUUAUGGGUUGUUAAUUAGUGCCUCUGGAACACUAAUUAACAAAACAAAACUGUAUAGAAAAGAGUAUUUUUGACACCUUUUAAAGUUUGUCCGCAGAAGUUUCAAAAUAUGUUUACUAUAUAUAUAUAUUUUUUUUAACUUGUGUGAUAGAAGUAUUUGUUAGCAUUUUUUUAUAUCACAUGAAAAACUUGUAUAAUUCAUAGAUGCUUUUCGACACAUAAGUGUCAUGCUAGAAUUUCGGUUUAAAUAAUAUUUGCUGUUUAAAAAAGAAAUAUAUUGUGCUUUUUUAGUUGAGCAAUGAUAUUUGUACAUCCAUUUCAUGACAACUUUAGUGACAACUUUGUUUCUCUCUCUUCUUAUUGGUCAAAAACAAUGGAGAGAGAAAAAGGAAGAGAGAGGAUAAGACCAUCAUGUGAGUAUAUGAGAGAGAAAGUUGAACAAAAGUUGUCACAAAUUGAUUGUACAAAUAUCAUUUCUCUUUUUAGUUUGUUUUAAGCGCCCUACCCAAAAGAAGUCCAUGUGUCACGUAGUGUAUAUGUACAUAUGUAGUGUGGCCAAUGGGGAUUCAAUGCAUUUCUCUUCUCUACAUUAAUUUCACGAGCCAAAAUUUCAUUUCAUGGGUUUCAUGUAUAAGUUUCCGUUAUUCCGUGAGUGGUUAGUUGUAAGACGCAACUCAACGUAAUGUCCUCCAAUGACCAAUCCAUCAACUUUCUCAUUUUGUUCUUUCCGACUUCCUCGUUCUGCUUCUUUUUGUGAAUGUCAAUUUGGAUAAUUUCACAUUCCUAGUGACUGAAUAUCAGCUUUUACUUUUAGUCUUUUGGAGUUCUCCUUUUCAUGACUCCAAUAAUUGAUUACUCCUUUUCUCCACUGCUCAAUUGGAUUUAGUUGAGUUUCUUCUCUUUUUGCUUUUUCAUCAAUUUAACUUAUUCAUCGUAAACGAGGUUUCUUAAGACGAAAGGUAUGACACCCUUGUGGAGAACCAAAAAAAAAAAACAAGAAAGGGUAAGAAUAUCUCCUACACAUGCAUUUAAAAAUCAACGAAAUGAUCGAUAAACAUGAUAUAUCAAUUUAAAAACAAACUUACACUGACCAAAAAAAAAAAAAAAAAAAACUAUUAAUAACAAGACAUUAAUUGUCCCUUCAAAAAAAACAAGACAUUAGUUGCAUUUUUUUUAGGGAAGGCAUUAACUGAAUUUAACAACAAUCAUUCAAUUUACAUAAUUUAUGCGUCUUUUCUGUUAACAAUUUAUUUGUAAAUUAUGAUAUUCCUUUUCUUUUUUUUGGUGUUCGGGUUUGAACCCCGAACCUUGUAUAUAUUAUGCAUUUUUUCUUACCAAUUGAGCUAAGUUCACAAGGACAUGAACAAAUAAAUCACAAUUAAAAAAAUAAAUUAAAAAUCUAAAAUUGAUGUAAAUAAUUUGAUAUUUGAUCUGCUCGGUAGGGAUCAGAUAGAGGCAACGGUUGUGUGCGGUGUUUCGGCACAUUGGCAGUGUAGUCUCUACGACAGAGUGGAAGGUGCAUGCGAACACGUUAGCACUCAAAUGUCCAAGUCAGUAUAAAAAAUGAGGUUGAAUAUGCCUAAGUGUGUGUGAGAAUAAAUUUCCUUAUAUAAUAAAAGUAGUGCUAACAGUUUCCGCGAAAUGCGGCGCCUCAUUAGGUAAGCAUUGGAGUCCACGUGUACGGUGCAGGAGAGACGAGGUCAUGUUCCAGGGCGGUGAUCCAUACCAGAACUAGCAUGCUCCCUUAGGUCGUUGUGCCCUCUUCCGCGGAGUUUAAUCCAUGUGGCUUCAUGGAUUAGGCGUUCUAGUCGGUCCAUAACAAUAUUAUAUAAAGAGAAAUUAAAAACCAAUUUUAUUUAUUUUUUAAAUAUUUUGAAUAAUGACGAGCUUACAUGAACAAAUAAUUUAACCGAUUUGAAAUUUAUUAAAAACCAAAUUUACCAUAAACUAAUUUUUUUUUUGAAAACUCGGUAUCCAAUCCAAGAAUCGACUAAUCCGAGGGGACCAAUCCCACCAGUCACUUGCGGGGGCCCCGUUUAAAGUCAGAGCAAGCUCUGUGUAGACUUAGCCCAUCAAAAUUGGCACCAGAGGGAAUCGAACCUGAGACCUCUGGAGGAGCAAACUCCAAGAUCCCUAGCCAACCACUAGGCCAACCCCAAAUGGGUCAAUACUUCUAAUAUGGAACUCUUGACACACCCGUCUCACGCCUAAUACUACACAUUUGGAGCUAACCCGGGUGACCGAUAGUAGAAACCUUAUAAAAUGUGGAUCAAUGAAUCUUAGAUAGACUAUAACCCAAGUGACCGAUAGUAGAAACCUUAUAGCAUGUGGAUCAAUGAAUCUUAGAUAGACUACAAUAUCAUAUUAAAAAUUGUGGUUGAGAUCUAACUCAACUCCAAAAAACUGGCUUCUGAGUUGGGGUAUGCCCGCUUGUUCAGACCAUCUCACUUUCGAUGUGGAAAUCAUAUAAGAGUUAUCAUCGCUUUUCUUUUUGAAUAAAAUUAAUGAAUAAAAACUUCCUCUUUGUAAAUGUAAUUAUCAUAAAUUGAUAAUUAAACAUUUGGUCGUUAAUAAAGAAAAUAUAUAAGCAAACCAAAAUAGAAAGAAAAUAUAUGAAUAAUUUUUACACUUAGACACCACAAAAAAAACAUAAUGAUUUGGCAAAAUAAAAAAACUAAUACAUUGCGAAUACAUUUUUUUAUUUUAUUUUUGAGAAAUACAUAGCGAAUACAUGACAAAUAUUAGUAACUGAUUUUGUAAAAAAUAAUAAUUAGUAAUUGGAUACAUAAUUGUAAAUGUAAUAGCUCAGUUGUUAUGGAUAAUGCAUAAAAUAUGUAAGGUCCGGGGUUCGAACCCUGACCACCACAAAAAAAAUAAAAAUUAAUCAUCAUAAAAAAAUUGAAUAACAGAAUAUAUGAAUAAAAACUUUCUCUUUAUAAAUGCAAUUACCAUAAAUUGGUGAUUAAACAUUUGGGCGUUAAUAGAAAGAAAAUAUAUAAGCAGUCCCCAUGAACUUAGACAAAAAAAGAAAGAAAAUAAAUGAGCAAAGCAAAAAAGAAAGCAAAUAUAUGAAUAAUUUAUUUUUGAAGGCAUAUAUACGAGUAAUUUAAUAUUCUUUCUAAAAGUGUUUGCGAAUAUUUCGCGCGGACCAGACCUACUGCAUAUUCUGUCUAUAAAUACAAACUUGUCAAACCAUUUUCGUUGCCUGAGAAAGCCACCAACAAACACCAUGAAAAGGUUUAGCAAUAACCGUCGUAACCUUGAAUACAUUUUCCACUUGUUCAACCUUUUUGCCACUCUCUUGCUUUUUUGGCACUUCUCUUUUUUCACCAUCGCUCUCAAAUCCUUUACUCAUCUCUACGCUAUUUCCAAAUCCCUCUUUAGUAACUCUUUCUUUGUUUUUCUCCUUCUCCAUGUUAUCAUUCUCUCUAUAUAUAAACUCUCCAACCAAAACGAUGACGUUUCCACCGCUGUCUACAACCAAUGUCUUAAAAUAACCUCUUCAUCGGAGUUAGUUACUGCCGACACCGAUUACCAAUGUUUUAAAAUUACCCCAGAGGAUCCCGUAGAGUCUUUGCCGGAGAAACAAAAACAAGAUCCGGUAGUGUCUUCGUUUGUUACCGAUCGCGUGGAGUCUUGGCUGGAGGCACAACAAAUUUUUUGCAAUUCGGAAGUUGGAGAUUCGUCUCUGAUUUCUGAGGAAACUGUCGUAGAGGAACAUGAACCUGUCAUGGCGGUUACUGAGACCACGACAACAACGUGUUGCACGACCGUGACAACUACUGGAGAUAAUAAGGUUUCGGAGGAAAAGUGUUACCGGAGAGUUCAAUCGGAGUGUUAUGAACGGAGUCUGGUGGCGAAUAACCCGAGAGAGUUGAGGAGAUUCGACACAUGUUUGAAGAAGAAGGAACCGCAGAGGAGUUUGUGUUAUGUUGAAGAAUUGAGUAAAGAGGAGUUCAAGCGCACGGUAGAUGAUUUCAUUGCUAAACAUAAGAGGAUGAUGCAAUCGGAGGAACGAGCACGGUCUCAGAAAACAGAGUAUUUGGCCUUGACUCCAUAUUAGGAAUUUAAUUUUAAUAAAAUAAAUUAAUUUUAGAGAUUAGGUAAUUUGAUGUGGAUUCAUGGUCUAUUUUAUUUUACUCUUUCAAUACGUAAUUCUAAUAUUUGAUCCCAUUCAAUGAAUAUAUAUAUAUAUAUAUAUAUAUAUAUAUAUAUAUAUAUAUAUAUUCCACUCCUGUUACUUUGGUUUGAUAAUGUGUUUGGGAGUUUCUACGGUAUACCCUUAAAUUAAGGUGUACCGGUACACCUAUUUCAUAAUUCAAUAAGUUAACAAUCAUUUUUAUGUAAUAAAGAGAUGUUUAUCGACUUUUAUAUUUUAAAAAAUAUCAUUUCAUAAGAAAAAACAUCAUUUCAUCAUUUAUAAGAAUCAUACUAAUUUUUUAAACAUUUUAUCCAAAAAAAAAAUAAUCAAUAUUCAAUAAUAUGAGUAUUAAAAAUUAAAAAAAAUUUGAGGACACUUUUGAAAAAUAAAAUAUAAUUAUUAUAAUUGUAACUAAUAGAAAAUAUAUUUUUUUAAGAAAAAAAUAUUCAUUAAACUAUUUAUUUAAUAUAUGGGUGUAGCGGUACACUCAAUUUUUUUGAGUGUACCGUAGAAAUUGCCAAUGUGUUUUUCUUUCAUGUUAUGUUUUUUCAUAAAUCCAAGCCUUCAUAUGAUUUUUUUAUUUAAUAUAAUGUAUAUUGUGGUUUUGUUAUUUAGUAGGAGGUCUAGUUAUUGGUGUGAUUAAACCUUCCUACAAUUUCGUUAUUUAGUAGUAAAUUUAUUCGUGUGCUUUAGGUUAACAUAAGUUUUGGUCUAUUUAGUAAUAAGCGUUAUGUAAAGUAAGCUUUUAAAUAGGAUCUUAGGUUUCAUGACACCUUAAAAAAAAAUCAGAUCAAACUUUAAAAAUAAGCCUAUGACGAGCAAUAGGUCAGACUCAGAUCUAUAAUUUUUUUUAAGCAGGUCAGACUUAAGCUUUUAAAACUCGGCCUAACCCAUUUCCAUCCGUAAACAAUAGCUAUAGGAAAAUAUACUCAUUAACGAUAGCAAUAUUUUUCUUAAAAAAAAAAAAAAGCAAUAUUUCCUUAAAAAAAGCAAUUAGCAAUAAUAUUAUGGAGAAGAAACUCCUUUUUUUUUUUUAACGAUUGAUGCGCAGCAGAAUUAUUGGAAUAUUCUGAGUGAUUUUUUUAUUUUUUUUUAAAUAUACUCUGAGUGAUUUUCGAUUGCCCAAUUAAUAGGAAAGAUUUCGGUUUAUUGAUGGAAACAAGUGACGAAUUUGUUUUGGUAUGUUUAUUGCCUUUUUCUAGAACCAAUUAUUUUUUUGACUGCACCAUGGAAGCUCCCUUAACAUAUAUCACAUUCCUUAAAAAAAAAAAAAAAAUCACAUAAAUCAUAACAUAGGGAUAUGCAAUUUUCUGAGUUUUUAACCCACUUUGUUUGGUGGCAUAGUGAGUGGUGAUGUCUAUUUGGGACUUAAAGUGUGUCUCAAAGAUCCAUAUAUGAUUUUAUCGUGUAUCAAUCUGGAUGUGGUAGUUUAACUUCUUAACAAAAACAAUUUCGAGAGAAUACAAUCAAUUUUGCUAAUUUUUUACUCGGUAUUUUCUCACUCGGUAAACAAACUAAAUUACAAGAAAUAAAUAAAUGAACAAACUAACAAAAACAAUUCUUCUUCCUUCAAAAAAAAAAAUAAAUAAAUAAAUUCUCAGGUACCGUUUGACCCGGUUUUUUUUCCAGCUUUUCUACGUUUUUAAGGAGAAGCUAGGCCAAACACAAUAUCAAUAAAGUACCUUCGAAAAAAAGUACUUUUUUUAGAAUGCAUAAAAUUGAAUGGAAUGAGCUUUAACCAAAAGUUGUUGAAUGCUACUUCAAAAAACUAUUUCUCCCCCAAUUUAUUUCACAAGCACCUCUCUUCAACUCCCGCGGGCAACUUUUUGUUUUAUUUUUUCAAUAUGCUUUUUUUUUUCCAUUUUAUUUUAUUUUAUUUUUUUGGGUUAAAUAUAUUUUUGGUCCCUAUAAAUAUACCAACUUUUCGUUUUAGUCCCUCUAAAAUUUUCCUUCAACUUUUAGUCCCUAUAAAAUUUUCAAUCUUUACUUUUGGUCCCUCGUUUAAAGUAAACUCAUAUGUAGAAUUCAUAUUUUUAAAUAAAAAUUUUCAGAAAAAUGUAUAAUAUUAUAAGGAUCUCUCCCAAAAAAAUUUAGAAUUUUUUACCAAAACAUGAAAUAAAUAUGAAUUUUUAUAUUUUUGGCUGUAAAAUAUUCAUAUUUAAUUCAUGUUUUGUUAAAAAAUUCUAAUUUUUUUUGGGAGUGAUUUUUACAAUAUUUCAUAAAUUUCUGCACAAUUUCAUUAAAAAAUUCAAUAAUUUACUUUAAAAUAGGGACCAAAAGUAGUGAUUGAGAAUUUUAUAAGGACUAAAAGUUGAAGGAAAACUUUAGAGGGACUAAAACGAAAAAUUGGUAUAUUUAUAGGGACCAAAAACAUAUUUAACACUAUUUUUUUUUAACCGGUCCAUUUAAUUUUUUAAUGAGGUUCCAUUUAAGUUUAUUAUCUAUUUUUUUAAGGAAUUUUAUUAUAUUUUUAUCAAUUAUAUAUUAAUUUCAAUAUAUUUUGAUAAUCACAACCUCGCAAAUAUUUGUAUUCACGCUGUCAAUAAAUGACACGGAAUAUUUUUAUUCUCUUUCUUCAAUCACGAAAAUACACACACACACGUUAGCGUUUAGAGUAAUAUUUUAUGUUCCUCUUUCUGUUUUUUUUUUUGUUAUGCUAAUGCGUAUAAUUUUUGUUAGUGUUGUGUAAUGCGUAUAAUUAUUUUUAUAAAAUUUUGAUUUUAAUUAAAAGUACAAGUGUAGUUGCCUAAAAAAAUUAUACUUAUAUAUUUUACACAUUUGUAUUGUAACAAACUAUGCAUAUCUUUUUCUUAUUAAAAAAAAAAAACAUAUCUUUUUCAAUGACACCAACAAUGUAACAAAUAUAAUAUUAUAUAAUAUAAAUUCUUAUAUUUUUGACCAAAACUAAAAAUAUGGUAUUCUUAUAACAAAAUUUGUUAUAACAAAAUUUGUUAUAGAGUAUAAUUGGAAAAGAUAUUGUACAAAUUUGUAGUCAUGUUACAUAAAAUAAACGUCAUUGAGUAAAUAUAGUAUUAGUAAAAAUAUAUCUUUUAUAUUUUAAACAUUUUUUCCCUUCAAAAAAUAUUUUAGACAUUUUUUUUAUUUAUUAUGUUAAUUCAUAAUGAAUUUAAAGUUUUUUUAUUUAUAGACAAUGCAUAAAUAAAUAUAUGCAAGGUCCCGGGUUCGAACCCCAGACACCACGAAAAAAUUAUAAAUUCAAAGUUUUGUACAAUAUUUUGCCAAACAGCUUUUAACUCAAAAAUAACUUUAGAACUAAAAAAAAAAUAAAGAAAUCAAACAGUUUUAGUCUUUUUCUUAAAGAGCUUUAUUUUAACUUUGUUUUAAAGUAGCUUUUAGACCGAAAAAAAGCCUGACCAAACUAGUUAUGAGAGAAUAACAUCAAUUUUGCUAAUUGUUUUAUGAGGUAUUUUCUCACUCUGUAACAAACUAAAUUAUAAGAAAUAUAUAAAUGGACAAAACUUGUGUAUUUUUCAUAAGGUUCUUAACUAAACAUAUAUAUAUUUUUAAAACACAUAUAUUCUUUUUAAAAAAAAUUAUGAAUAAUUUAGUGACAUAGCACCUACAAAGAUGAACCUAAGUUUUUUUCCUAAAUAAUUUGUUAACAUUGGUAAGCCAAAAUAAAAAAAAAUUGGCAGGCUAUCAUGUACAUCAUUUGGUCAUUAUUAUAAAUAAAAAUCAACAUUUUAGAUUAUUUAUUGAAUGAUGUUUGUAGUCUAAAAUAAUAACAUCAUUGAUUGAAUGAAUGUAAAAUAUAGAUUUUUGUUCAUAACAGUUGCCGGAGAGUGUAGUUUUGAAGAAAAGUAUGUAUACAAAAUAAAAUGUCUUAUUGUUAAUCUUAUUUUGACGUUGGUCCUCAAUUUUAAAAAUCGAUUUUUGGAUUUAACCCUACUUUUAAUUUAUUUUUUUUGGAUUUUGGGUCCUUCUCAUUUUUGUGUCAUUUUUUAUAAUGUGGUAUAUAUAUAUUUGUUGCAUCACACUGAAUUUUCAUGUCAGCAAAAAUAUGCCUUAUAAGCCUUGCCCUAUUACACUGAAUCACACUAUAAAAAAUGAUCCAAAAGAGAUGAAUGACGAAAAUUUAGAAGAAAAAAUAGUUAAAUUGGAGACUAAAAAAUUGAUUUUAAAAAUAAGAAGACCAAAACAUCAUUUUCUUUUUAAAUAGAAAGACCAAAAAUGCAUUUAAACAUUACUUUUUUAACAUUUUUUCUUUUCUUUUCUUUUUUAUGCUUCCAGGAACCCAUUUGUUUUUUUAUAAAAAAAAAAGAAGAAAAAUAAUAUAAUUCAAAAUUAUAUAAUACAAUCAUUUUAGCUGGAGAGAAUCGGAUUAAUUGGAUAAAAAAAAAAACACGAUCACAACUAGUUACACUCAACUAGUUACAAAUCCGUGCUUCGCACGGGUUCAAUAACGUAUUUGAUAAAAAAUUUCUUUGAAAGAAGAGAUGUUAAAACGACGAAACAUUAUGAUUCAUCAUAAAAUAUGUAUGGGCUGAUUAAGAGAGAAUAUAAUCAGUUUAUGAGAUUAAGAAUUGAAAUAAUAUUUAGGAUGGAAACAAUUGGAACCAAUAAAGGAACCAAUGAUGUGUGAAUUAUGAUUACAUAUUAUCCAAAAUUAUAAAAAAGAGUGUUGCUGUUAUAGAGUUACCAAAAAAGGAUUGAUACUCAUAUUUACAUCAGAUGAAAUCAAGCAAAGAAGUAGCAUCAGUGAGUGAAGAUAAUCCAGUCUAGGAUUAGAGUUAAGGUGAUAUGUUGAAAGUACGGAUCAUGAACACAUAAUCUUUAUUUGGGAACGACUUGAACGUGCAUAUUUUAAGGUGGCUUCUCUAGAUCAAAAAUUAGCUUAUCACCUACCUCUAACAUAUGUUCUCGGCAAAAGUUGAACCAUUGACCGCCUAAGUAUUUUUCGUAACUUGCUCUCUUUGCCGUUAUCAAGCGACAGUUAUACCUUUUUUGAGCUUGUUUGCUGACGAUUGUGAUUGUUUUCCAUGUUCCUUUUAGAAAUGUCCUUGAUAUCUAAUUUGGGAAGUGCUAGGUACAAAACAAAUUGCAGUGCUAAUUGGAUGUUAUAUAUAUAAGUACAUUUCUAAAACAUUUACCAAAGCAUUAUAAAGAUUUGUUGUAGGAAAAGAGCAUGUUCUAUGUUGUUCAAGAGAUUAGGAAAACAACAUUAUAAUUAACAUGAUACUAAUUGGAACAAUGAAGAAACCAACAAUGUGCAGAUUAACGUUACAUAAUAGUUAGGUUUAUAAAAGAGACUGCAAGUGUCAUAGACUAACCAAAAAGGGAUUUUUGCCAAUAUUUGCAUCAGACAAAAUGAAAAGAACAAAUGGCAUCCCUAAGUCAAGAUAGUUUACGAUUACAGUCCAAAGCGAUACGUCAAAAUAGUAGAAGUUCAAAUAGUUCAGCAGCAAAGAUCUACUUUGGAACAACUCGAACGUGCAAGUUCAUCAGCGACUUUUCGAGAUCAAUAAUGAGCUUACCACCUUCUUCCUUCACACUUUCUUUGCAGAAAUUGAACCACUGUCCACCCAAGUAUUUUUCAUAGUUGUUACAUCAACUAUAUUCCCACUGCAUAAAGAAAGACAUCUUUCAGGUCAUUACCAAACUUAUACAAAAUCCUAUCAUCUGAUGCUGACAAAUAAGAAAAUAAUACCUUUUAUCUUUCAACACAAUGUUCGUACACAGUUUCUUUCCAGUCCCAAUUGGCGUUGUCUUGACAAUCUCAUGAAGAAGCCCGAUGACUUCUUUAAAAAAAAAUUACAUAUAUAAGAACAUUAUAAUUGGAGAAAACACAUAAAUAAAUUAAAGCACAUAACUAUAUCAUAUAAAACGUCAGUUUUGAAUUUUCCAUCUUGAAUUUCCUUAAAUGACUUAAAGCGAAAUUCAUGAGUAAGAACGUUAGUUAACUUGUCAUACUUCUGCACUUUUGUACUGGAACCAAAAAUAACCUUAAAUGAAUUAAAUGCAAUGUCAUUAUCAAACACAUGACAAUUAUACAAAGUAUAAGUCUUGUUUUCCUUGAUCAAAGCCUUCCAAUGCUCCAAUUCUCUAUAUCGAGUUAUUACAUGAACUCGAUCACCCUAAAUCCGAGAAAGAAACCAAAAAAUAUAAAUAAAUCAAAAUGUACACUAAUAAGUAACAUUGAUAAAUCACAAAGGAAAUUAUAACAAAUCUUAACUAACUCAUCUAACCUCUGCAUCACAAACAAUGAGCUUCAGAUGUUGAUUCUCAUUACUACCAGUCACAAUCCAAGAAUCCAACACUCCAAAUCCUAUUUUCCAAAUGUCCAAAUCAUUUUUGAGAUCCUUAAUGUAGUCAUAAUCCCUUGACAUUGAAAGUCCUAUAUAGAAAUACAAUAAUACAUCAAUUAAUUUUAUUCCCUUUGUUCAUUCUGAUAUCGAAAGAAGUUAACAUAUUUCUAUGUGAUCAAUUUAUGUAUCAUCAAAUCAACCUGAUCUUAAAUGCACAUAUUUCUGUUUCAUCAACUUUUUGGACAUCAAUGAUAUGACCAAAACUAAUUUACACCAAUCAACUUUCGUACGGCUCAAUGAUAUAGGAAAGAAUAAACCAAAUAUGAAAACUGUUACAGCUUUAGGAUUACUCACAAAAAGUAAAAUAACCCAUAUGCAUCAAUUUUUUUCAACUGCAGUACCAUAAGCUAAAAUAACAACAAUUGUGUCAAAACCUUACCAUGAACUAAAAUUCAAUCAUCAUGACCUCUACUAUACUCCACAUAACAAAGGAAAAAUUUUCUACAGUUAUGCAACAUAACAAUUUCUGGUACAUAAUCCACUAACAAUUGAAAAAAAAAACAAAACCCUUAAAAUGCAAAAUCGCGAAAAAAGGAAGAAAACCACCUAUGAUGAAGCAAAAACAAAAACAGUGUUGAAAAAUGAACCCCUCAAGCCAUAAAAAUCAGUCAACUCAAGUCAUGUAUGGUCUCAUACCAUGAAAAAAGGAAGAAAAUGACCUCUUAUGAAGAAGAAAGUGAAACAGUGUUCCCAGCUGAACUUAGAUACCGUUUGACCAAGGAUUUUUACGGUCUAAAAGUUACUUGAAAACAAAGUUAAAAUAAAGACCUUUAAGAAAGAAGCUAAAGUUAUUUGGUUUCUUUGUUUUUUUAGUUUUAAAGCUAAUUUUAAGUUAAAUAUUGUUUGACAAAAUAUUGUACAAACUUUGAUUUUUUUUUUUUAUGGUGUCCGGGGUUCGCAUGUAACGUCCUCUUUGAAUUAUUUGAUUUAUUUGAUUGUUUUAAUAGAUUUAUAAUAUAUUUAUAUGAUUAUGUGAUUUAUUAAGUGACUUAUUUUAUUAUUUAAUAGAAUAGAAUUUGAAAAUAAAAUAAGAUUAAGUUGUGGGGCUGUUUUGGAAUUUAGAAGAGUUUAGUGAAAAUAAAGGAAAUAAGAUAAAGUGGAUGGAGGAGAGAUAUAAGGAGGAAACUAGGUUUGGAAAAGUUUUUAGGUGAAACUGCUUUUUUGGAGAAAAAGGGAGAAAACAAAAGGAGAGGAGAGAGACCGCCGAUCAUCAAUACUAAGGUAAGGGUGUGACUAACAUUCAAUCUUCUUAAGCCUAUGAUUCUUGUGCUCUAAUUUACUGCUGUGAUUUUAGGUAUAUUAUUGUCUCUGAGUUUAUUAUUUUCAUCUGCUAGUUAGUUUAUGGUUAUGAUUCGGCCAUUGAAUUUGAAUCUGUCUGUGUUGCUUAAUAUUAUAUGAAUUAGAAUCGUGAGUUUAAUUUUGAAUCUACACGGUAAAUCACGUUUGAUCAUUGAGAAAAAUAAUAUUUGUCUGCACUCUUUGCUACUUAUUUGUGAUAGUAUUGUCAUCUAGUUAUGUGAGAGUCUGCAUGCAUUACUUGUGUUGUUGGUAUAUCGCCUAAGUUUCUCUAUUCCUUUUUAAUGUUCUGUUAUAUGGGAGAUAAAAGACACUUGUAAAGUUUAUUGAUAUAACUAAGCUAGGUUUAGACGGUCCUUUCUUUCAUAGGUGAAGAAUUUUGAAUUAUAUUAAAAUAACUUGUAAGCUUAGGGACUAGUCCUCUAUAUUGGGUGCUUCCGUGGAAAAUUUCUUGUUCGAUGCAAAAUUUCAGUCCCUGUUUACACAUAGCCUAUUAUUUAACUUGUUGUGACAUGUAAAAAUGUGAUACUAAAUUGUUAUAGUUAGAUAUAUGACAUGUUUCGUGUACUAAUACUUGUAUUUUAUUAAAGUGUGCUAUUGUCAUUAUAUUAUACUUGUGAUCUGUGCACUUAUUCAUAAGAAAAAGUGAGUUAUUUAGUGAUGUGUUAUUGAUGUGUUAAUUGACAAUGUAUAAUUGAUGAGUUAUUUAACGAAGUGUAAUUGAUGAAUUAUUUGAUUAAGUGUAAUUUGUGAAUUAUCUGAUGACGUGAAAAAAAUGUGUUAUAUAAAAAUGUGUUAUUUGAAGAUGUAUGAUUUAAAGAUGUGGUAUAUAAAGAUGUGCUAUUUGAAGAUGUGUGAUUUAAAGAUGUGUUAUAUAAAGAUGUGAUAUUUGAGGACAUAUGAUAUUAUGAUGCAAAGUCGCUGUCGAAGUCGUACAAGUUGUUGAAGUUGUCUAAGUUGCUAAGUUGCUAAGCUGUUCAAGUUGUAAGAUGUUGAUCCAAAUUAUUGGAGUCAUAUGAGAUGUCUUAAGUUGUUAAUGUUGUCUAAGUUGUUGAAGUCGUAGUUGAAUCUGUUAUUGGUGAUUGUUUAUGUUCAGGUGUUUUGUAAGAGGUGGUGUACUCUUACGUUGUUAUUCUUUAAGAGGUGGUGUACUCUUACNNNNNNNNNNNNNNNNNNNNNNNNNNNNNNNNNNNNNNNNNNNNNNNNNNNNNNNNNNNNNNNNNNNNNNNNNNNNNNNNNNNNNNNNNNNNNNNNNNNNNNNNNNNNNNNNNNNNNNNNNNNNNNNNNNNNNNNNNNNNNNNNNNNNNNNNNNNNNNNNNNNNNNNNNNNNNNNNNNNNNNNNNNNNNNNNNNNNNNNNNNNNNNNNNNNNNNNNNNNNNNNNNNNNNNNNNNNNNNNNNNNNNNNNNNNNNNNNNNNNNNNNNNNNNNNNNNNNNNNNNNNNNNNNNNNNNNNNNNNNNNNNNNNNNNNNNNNNNNNNNNNNNNNNNNNNNNNNNNNNNNNNNNNNNNNNNNNNNNNNNNNNNNNNNNNNNNNNNNNNNNNNNNNNNNNNNNNNNNNNNNNNNNNNNNNNNNNNNNNNNNNNNNNNNNNNNNNNNNNNNNNNNNNNNNNNNNNNNNNNNNNNNNNNNNNNNNNNNNNNNNNNNNNNNNNNNNNNNNNNNNNNNNNNNNNNNNNNNNNNNNNNNNNNNNNNNNNNNNNNNNNNNNNNNNNNNNNNNNNNNNNNNNNNNNNNNNNNNNNNNNNNNNNNNNNNNNNNNNNNNNNNNNNNNNNNNNNNNNNNNNNNNNNNNNNNNNNNNNNNNNNNNNNNNNNNNNNNNNNNNNNNNNNNNNNNNNNNNNNNNNNNNNNNNNNNNNNNNNNNNNNNNNNNNNNNNNNNNNNNNNNNNNNNNNNNNNNNNNNNNNNNNNNNNNNNNNNNNNNNNNNNNNNNNNNNNNNNNNNNNNNNNNNNNNNNNNNNNNNNNNNNNNNNNNNNNNNNNNNNNNNNNNNNNNNNNNNNNNNNNNNNNNNNNNNNNNNNNNNNNNNNNNNNNNNNNNNNNNNNNNNNNNNNNNNNNNNNNNNNNNNNNNNNNNNNNNNNNNNNNNNNNNNNNNNNNNNNNNNNNNNNNNNNNNNNNNNNNNNNNNNNNNNNNNNNNNNNNNNNNNNNNNNNNNNNNNNNNNNNNNNNNNNNNNNNNNNNNNNNNNNNNNNUUUAGGUGCUCUGAUACGUAACGGGAUGGAAACUUUGUUGCAUGCUUUUCUAUUCCUUACGUAUUGCUUAUGAAUUUACAUGAUUAAGUUGUUAAUUGAAUUUUUAUGAGAUACUUUGAUGAGGCCUUCGUGCCAAAAUUAUUUUAGAUGUUCGAAUAAAUCCCGCUGCGAAGUAUUAAAUAUUAUGUUGUUGAAUUUUGAAGGAUAAUUAAUUAAUUAUUCCGUUUAUGAUUUUAAGAAAAGAAGUGUGACAUUCCGUUUAUGUGAAUUACUCUGAUUAAAUAAAUGAAAUUUUUACGUUGGGAAAACAGGGUGUCACAUCGCACCUCGGACUUGGCAUAUAUUUAUGCAUUGUUCCUAUCAUCUGAACUAAACUCACGAGGACAAAACUUUGAAUUUAUUAUGAAUUAACAUAAUAAAUAAAAAAUGUUUAAAAUAUUUCUAAAGGCUAAAAAUGUUAAAAACUAAAAGAUAAUUUUUUUUUUACAAAUACUAUAUUUACUCAAUAACGUUUAUUUUGUGUAACAUGAGUACAAAUCUGUAUCAUCAUAUAAAUGACUUGUUAAAUAUUUGAAUAGGAGAAAUAAUUUAAGGAGCCUGAAAUAAUAACAUAAAUAAUAUCAAAAUAGUUGAUUUUUUCUAUUUCAAUUAUACUCUAUAACAAAUUUCAUUAUAAGAAUACCCUAUUUUUUGUGUCUUUCAAAAAGAUAAGAAUUUAUAUUAUAUGAUAUUAUAUUUGUUACAUUGUUGGUGUCAUGGAAACAUAUAUGUUUAGUUUUUUUGAAUAAGAAAAAGAUAUGCAUAGUUUGUUAUAAUAUAAAGGUGCAAUAUAUAUAUAUAUAUAUAUAUAUAUAUAUAUAUAUUAUAAGUAUAAUUUUUUUUAGGCAUCUAGACCUUUUUUGAAGAAAAUACUUCUACAAUUUUACUUUUAAUUAAAAUCAAAAUUUUAUAAAAAUAAUCAUACGCAUUAUGCAUAGCAAAAAAAAAUUAUACGCAAUAGCGGAAUAAAAAAUAGACAGACGUAAAGUAUUACUCUAAACGCUAAUGUGUGUGUGUAUAUUUGUGAGGUUGUAGAAAGAAAAUAAAAAUAUUUAGUAUCAUUAAAUGACAGUGUGAAUGAAAAUAUUUGUGAGGUUGUGGUGAUUAAACGAUAUUGAAGUUAAAUAUAUAAAUGGUAAAAAGAUAAUAAAAUUCCUUUGAAAAAAAGGUAAUAAAAUUAAAUGGGACCUCCUUAAGAAAAAAAUUAAAUGGAACGGUUCAAAAAAAUUAAAUGGAAGAAAAAAAAUAUUGAAAUAUAAUAUUAAAAAAUAAAAGAAAAAGUUCUCAGCGUGAGUUGAAAAGAGGUUCUUGUAAAAUAAAUUGUCGAGAAGUAGUUUUUUUAAAAACAACAUUCAACAACUUUUGGCCAAAGCUCAUUCCAUUCGAUUUUAUGCAUUAAAAAAAAGUACUUAUUUUAGUAAGUACUUAAUUGAUAUUGUGUUUGGCCUAACUUUUCCUUAAAAAUGUAAAGAAGUUGAAAAUAGCCGGGUCAAACGGUAUCUUAAUCUACCACAACCGCAAUGUAGAAGCAACUGAAUUUGGGAGAAAAAAUUGGAAAAUAAUUAAAAAUAAAAAAAUUGAAAAGUAGUUAAAAUUUUUUAAAAAUAUAAAAUUGAAAAAUAGUUAAAAAAAAUUGGUGAGGUAGCACUCAACCAAGCAACACUAAAAAAAAUUAUAUGCAUUAGCGUAACAAAAAACAGACAGACAUAAAAUAUUACUUUAAACGUUAAUGUAUGUAUGUAUAUAUUCGCGAGUUUGAAGAAAGGAAAUAAAUAUAUUUGGUAUCAUUAAAUGACAGCGUGAAUAAAAAUAUUUGUGAGGUUGUGAUGAUUAAACGAUAUUGAAAUUAAAUAUAUAAGUGAUAAAAAGAUAAUAAAAUUUCUUUGAAAAAAGAUAAUAAAAUUUCUUUGAAAAAAGAUAAUAAAAUUAAAUAGAACCUCCUUAAAAAAUUAAAUGGAACAGUUAAAAAAAAAUUAAAUGGAAGAAAAAAACAUAUUGAAAUAUAAUAUUAAAAAAUAAAACAAUGGUUCCCAGCGUGAGUUGAAAAGAGGUACUUGUGAAAUAAAUUAUCGAGAAGUAGUUUUUUAAAGUAACAUUCAACAACUUUUGGGCAAAACUCAUUCGAUUCAAUUAUAUGCAUUCAAAAAAAUUACUUUUUUAGUAAGUACUUAAUUGAUACUGUGUUUGACCUAACUUCUCCUUAAAAAUGUAGAGAAGUUGGAAAAAAAGUCAGGUCAAACGAUACCUAUAUCUCCUACAACGGCAAUGUAGAAGCAAAUGAAUUUAGGAGAAAAAAUUGAAAAAUAGUUAAAACCAUAAAAAUUAGAAGAAAAAAAAAGUUAAAAGUUAUUAAAAAUUAUAAAAUAAUUAAAAAAAAUUGUGAGGGGCAAAAUGGAAAAUGCAUCCAUAUAAUGGUGAGGUGGCACCAAACCAAUUUCUCCAAAUAGAUAAUUACCUAAAUGCCCUUAUAAAGGGCAAAAAUGUAAAAGACAAGGGAUUAAUAUUUAGAGUCCUUACACACCAACCACCAUAGGUGGCAAUCCCACCCAUAUACCACCUUUGUGUGGCAAAAAUUUUAUUAAAAAAAUUGGUAAAAUCCAUGUCACCCAAAAUUGAAAAAGAAAAAAAAAAAAGAAGACAUUUUCACUCGCCCUCUCAUUCAUAACAACAAUCUCUCGCCCUCUCAUUCCCCACUAUCACCGUACUCGUCCACAACUCACCACCGUUGAUUUCUAUCUCUUCCAUUUCCGGCAAUGACGCCAUCCCUUAUCUCUUCCGUUUCCGACAUCGGCGCCUCUCCGUUUCUCCCGUGCUAGAUCUACUACUUUUCUGUUUCAUUCCGUCCUCUAACCUCACCGUCUUGCCAUCACCAGCACCGCUUCACCACCACGACACACAAAACUGAGAUCUACAUCCCUUCUUCUCCGGUCACCACCACACCUCCUUGUUCAUCGGCAAGGCUUUUGUUGGUCGCCGGUUUAAGUGAGGAAGAGAGAGGAGCGGUAAUAAAGAGAAGAUGGACAAACAGUUAAAGAGAGGGAGAGUUUCACAGUGGUUAGGAGAGGGGAAAUCUACUAGAAUUAUUUUUUUAAGAAAAACGUGUGAGGGAGAAAGAUGAAGGACAAAGGUCAGGGAGAAAGAGGGGAAGAAGAUGACAAUGUGGGUGGAUGGCUAAGGCGGCGGUGGUGGAAGUUUUAGAGAAGAGAGAGAUCUGAAGAGGUGAGAAGAGGAGAUGAUGGUGUGCUAUGAAAAUACAAAAUUACCCCUACCACAUCAGUGGUGGUACAAAGUGUGUACAAAAUGAAGAUGUCUACCUAUAAUUUUUCUAAUAUUUAAUAUAUAGUAAGUAGACGAAUUUUAUAACUUAUAAGAAAGUAGCUGGUUAUUAUGCAGAGGCAUAUAUAGCCAAGCAUAAAACAAAAGAAGAAAAAUAAUAUUAUAUGGUCUUGUUUAUUCACAACCCAACAUAUCUUCUCUUAUAUUUUAUGUCCCCAUGGAACCAACCUUGUAUGUUUCUAAAACUGCACUUACCAUAAUCACUAAGCUAUAAAAUACACAGCUUCGAAUUAUUUUGAUUAGCACCCCCUUCCAACCAUACCGUACUUGAAUUAACACAUGACCCCUAAUACUUUGGAUUUGGAUUAUACCAAAAUUUACAUUAACCGGCACAUCUUAGCGUUGGAUUAAGCUAAGAUGGUUUUUAUUCAUCAGAUGUUAGAAUGAAUUUAUAACGAUCGAUCAGCAAAAUAAUAAUAUAACAGUCUGAAAUGAACUAAUACUUUUGUUUUCAAAGAAUUUAUUUAAAGAAUAUAGCUGACGGGCUUUCUUGUAUUACAAGUUAUGUUUUUCAUAUUCAUUUAUUUUAAAAUUUCAGAUGAAGUAGAAACUUUGUCACCUGGCUCUCAUCCAAUCACAAUUAUAUAUUUAUUUAUAAAAAAGUAACUUUUACAUCAUAUAAUAUAUUAUUUGUGGAAAAAGUGAACUUAAAUUAAACUAAUCCAAACACAAUUAUUUCCCUCCUCCCAUUUUAGUUCACUUUCAAGCCAGAGUAUAUUAUUUUCUUUGUCUCUAUACUCUCUAUUAAAUAACCACCACUCCAGUCCACAGACUAGUGGUUUUGUCUUCUUAUCAACCUUUGCUACUUG